AAUCUUCGUUUGCCUUUCUAUUACCAGUUAUCUGUAAGUAAUUGAUUUGUUGAAGUGAACUAACUUGUACCUAUCUUUGCUUUUUCGUUUUUAAUGUCACUAGGUGAGCUGUCAAGCAGUGAUGAAAAGAAAUACAAAAAUUUGAAAAGAGCAACAGAACGCGAGAUAACUCAGAGUGCUGAUGUCAUUUGCUCUACUUGUGUUGGUGCUGCGGAUCUUCGGCUGUCAAAUUUUAGAUUUAGACAGGUUAAGAUUAAUUACAAAAUUAAUUAUCUCUAGUUCUGUGGAAGCUAAUAUACCCUCCCUCUCUGAUAGGUCCUUAUUGAUGAGUCUACUCAGUCUACAGAACCUGAGUGUCUUAUUCCUUUGGUCCUCGGGGUAAAACAGGUAUUAAGGUUCUCAAGGAGCUGACUUGUUGCUGUUUAUUAUUGUCGGUUGCUUACGGAAUUUUUCUGCUCUAGGUUGUUCUUGUUGGUGAUCAUUGUCAGCUUGGCCCCGUAAUUAUGUGCAAGAAAGCAGCUCGUGCUGGCUUGGCACAGUCUCUCUUUGAACGCCUUGUGCUUCUUGGCAUUAAACCAAUUAGAUUGCAGGUACUACUUUAGUUGCUUUGCUCUAACCUAGCAGAUUUACCUCUCACAAUUUCUAUACGUCUCGCUGUCAAUUAAAUGUUGUCAUAUUCUUGAUUUCAGGUUCAAUAUCGUAUGCAUCCAGCGUUGUCCGAGUUUCCAUCCAAUAGCUUCUAUGAAGGAACACUACAGAAUGGAGUCACGGUUAAUGAAAGGCUAACAACAGGGAUUGAUUUCCCCUGGCCCGUACCUAAUAGGCCCAUGUUUUUCUAUGUUCAGGUAUCAAUUUUUCACUUGGAUUAGUUUAAAACCCAUUCAAAGUAAACGUCUUCCAUUUAUCUUGUCUUUCAAUUUACAGCUGGGGCAAGAGGAGAUCAGUGCUAGUGGAACAUCAUACCUAAAUAGAACCGAGGCUGCUAAUGUGGAGAAACUUGUGACCGCUUUCUUAAAGAGUGGAGUUGUCCCCAGUCAGGUGAGUGUAGUAGGAUUGUUUACCAUGUCUAGUAAAUUAUUUUCCAUGUGUUGACGUUUUCAAAUUAUGCUCGUUGUUACCAGAUUGGAGUGAUAACUCCGUACGAGGGACAGAGGGCAUAUAUUGUUAAUUACAUGGCAAGAAAUGGUUCUCUCCGACAGCAACUUUACAAGGAAAUUGAGGUAAAAUUGUUAAACUCUGUUUUAAAAAGGUUUAUUUUGAUCCUGUCACUUAUUUAACAAGCUCUCGAAUUUACACUUUUACAGGUUGCCAGUGUUGAUUCUUUUCAAGGAAGAGAAAAAGAUUACAUCAUAUUGUCCUGUGUCAGAAGUAACGAGCAUCAGGUUUGCGGGUGCUCUGUGGAUCAUUGCUUCUUACAAACAUUGUAGGAUUUGACUCGUAACUCCUGGUUUUAUGGUUUCCAGGGCAUUGGAUUCCUUAAUGAUCCACGGAGGCUCAAUGUUGCACUCACACGUGCUCGUUAUGGAAUUGUUAUUCUUGGAAACCCGAAGGUUCUUAGUAAACAGCCUCUGUGGAAUGGCUUGCUGACACAUUACAAGGUACACCUAUUUUUAAAGCAGAAGUGACGUCGUUUACCAGAUCUUUGUCUUCAACUUCUGUUGCCACUCAGGAAUCAGGAGUUGUUAAUUGUGAACCUUUGGCAUGUUAUCCUUUUAGUCCAAUUUGAUCAUUUUGUUUGUUUUCCUUAUAUGGGCAGGAACAUGAGUGUUUAGUUGAGGGACCUCUUAAUAAUUUAAAGCAGAGCAUGAUACAAUUCCAAAAACCAAGAAAGGUACCUAGACAUCGAUGCCCAUCAACAUAGAUUACAAGGAUAGAAGUAUGAACGUUAAUCAUCUUUCCUACUUUUUUAGAUGUAUAAUGAUCGCAGACCAUUUUAUGGUGGUGGGGCUGGCAUGAUUGGAAAUGAUAAUCCUAAUGCUGACAGAAGAGGCAGCCGUGGAAGGGGUAAGUAAAUGUCCAGUACCUUUUUGUAUCUUCGGUGAUUAUAUGUGUGUUUUUUUCAUUCGAUUGAUUCAGCUGGUGGUUGUCAUAUGCCUUCUGGCCCCACCUAGUGUGGAUCCCCAUUUUAAAAUCUUUUCUUCUAUUGAUUCAGCUGGUGGUUCUUAUAUGCCUUCUGGCCCACCUAGUGGUUCGAGAUUACACCCAGCUGGCUACCCAAUACCCAGGGUGCCAUUUUCACCGUUUCCUGGUGGUCCUCCUUCUCAGCCAUAUGCUAUUCCAACUCGUGGACCUGUUGGUACUGGUCGUGGAAGUUCAGUUGGGGGCCACCUUCCCCACCAACAAGCCACCCAGCAUAAUGUUGGAACUAUUGGCCCUAAUGUGAACUUCCCCCUUGAUAGUCCAAAUAGCCAGCCUUCACCUGGUGGUCCGCUAUCCCAACCUGGAUAUGUAAGUAUCGCCCUCAUCUCUUUUAAUUUUUUUCUUUCAUCUAGUAGUUUCUGAAGCAUUAGAGCUCGAUUGUUUUUGGUUGACUUUAAAUCAUCAUACGAUGUUGCCUUUUCAGGGAAGCCAAGCAUUCAGGGAUGGUUUUAUGGGCGGCAUUUCUCAGGUUGUCUUCUCGUUUUAUGUUACUUAGUGAUCAGUGGCAGUGUUUUCUACUUUUUGUCUGUUAUUUAAUAUCUUCUAUGUCAAUACCACCAGGAUUUCUUAGGUGAUGAUUUCAAGAGCCAGGGAUCUCAUGUUCCUUACAACAUGGGCGACUAUUCUACACAGGUAGUUUCUCUUCUGCCUGCUUUAGUUAUUAGACAUGUAAAUACUUUGGAUAUAUGAUAGUAGGACUACGAUAAGAUGUCUUUGGAAAUGUAAAACCAAAAUUCCGAGGUUGGGCCAGAUAUAUAUAACCAUGUGUUGCAAAGUUGAUAGUUCUUGAAUUUCACAUAGGAAUUACUGACUGUUCAUGUUUUUUGUAUAUGUUCUUCGUUUCUGAGCCAUAUUUGUAUAUAAUUUCUUUGUGGCAGUGUUUUCUACUUUUUGUCUGUUAUUUAAUAUCUUCUAUGUCAAUACCACCAGGAUUUCUUAGGUGAUGAUUUCAAGAGCCAGGGAUCUCAUGUUCCUUACAACAUGGGCGACUAUUCUACACAGGUAGUUUCUCUUCUGCCUGCUUUAGUUAUUAGACAUGUAAAUACUUUGGAUAUAUGAUAGUAGGACUACGAUAAGAUGUCUUUGGAAAUGUAAAACCAAAAUUCCGAGGUUGGGCCAGAUAUAUAUAACCAUGUGUUGCAAAGUUGAUAGUUCUUGAAUUUCACAUAGGAAUUACUGACUGUUCAUGUUUUUUGUAUAUGUUCUUCGUUUCUGAGCCAUAUUUGUAUAUAAUUUCUUUGUAUGCCUCACAGGGAGGAUAUGCGGUUGAUUAUGCCACACAAGGAGCCCAUGGAGCUUUUCCUGGAAACUUUAUGAACCAGAAUUCUCAAGGGGGUUAUUCUCGUUUCAGUGGGAGUAAUGAUUUCAUGUCCCAGGUGUGUUUCACCUAGCCUUUCCUUUUAACACUUUUUUUUUCUUAAUUCUUAGACCUUCGUCUGAGUCCUCUAUUACCGACACAGGAGUAUAUGCCGCAUGGAGCACAAGGUCUUUUCACCCAAGCUGGCUUUAUCGACUACAAACCGUGCGUUUUCAACGGAAGUCCCGUCGACGAUCGAUUCGAGUUUCGUGGAGGCAUGGAAGAAAGUCGCACCGAACAUGGACCCGCCGCAGACUCCUUCUUCCUUCAUGAAGCCUCGUCCAUCGACUGCUUCCUCGAUUCCGACGAUAGUUCGUUUGCAUUAACGUUUACAAUUAACAAAAAAGGAGGAUUCUUAAGAUAGCGAAGGUUGUGUGUUUAUAUAGAGAGAAUUACACACUAAACAUUAACCCAAACUCAUACAAACAAUUGAGGCCUUUCGAGUUUGUGUUCACCAUAUUAAUCUUUGGUACUCAUGUUUCUUUUCAAAAGAUGCUAACGACUCUUCGUCUCACAGGGUCUCCCGAAUUCACUCUACUCGCAGCCUUUCUCACACUACACCCAGCCACUAAACCUUUCAGGCCCACAGCAAUCUCAACCUCCUAACCAAGGCUCACAAAACCCAAAACCUCCUCACAACGGCUAAAGAUGACACAUGCAGAAGCUGAAUGCAAACGGGUUUGUAAACCUUUUUUUUUGCAAAUUCAGCAGUUUGGUAUCAUGCUAUCACGGCUCCAAACAAACAUCUGGUGGCUUCUCGGGGUGCUUGCAAGUUACGUGCCUUUCUGGCUCGCUUAGCAACAGGUAAUGAUGAUGCAGAGAGACAUGUACCUAAGUAACCCGAGGAGAUUCUUGGUCCAUACAUCCUCUGGGCUUAUAUAAAUGUUUGGUUUUGCCGUGUAAUAUUAUAAUAUCAUCCUCUUAUUGUAGUCUAUAUCUGAAGCUACCCUUAGUUAAAAAUCGGUGUUGGUGUCUGGUGAUAUUGAUAUGAGUACUGCAAACUCUCUUGCCUUUAUUUAUUUUUUUCUGGAUAUUUCGCUUAAUGCGUGUCUGAAUUAUUGUUUCUGCUUCCGUGGUAUUUAUUAUAUGAUCAUCUAUGAGAUAUGUGCAAGUUUUGGUUCCAGAUAGUGUCCUAUGGGGAUUGUCCAAUCGGUUUUGGGUAUCGGACAUAUUAACACCGACUUUCUUAGGUUUGUUACGGUUUCAGGAAGUACCGCUCGUGGAACCAUCCAUACAAGCAUCGGAUUCUACCCCGGGUGUGAUCCCACAAAGUUUGGUGUUACAUUUUUUUUUUCUCUGUGUCUCGGAAGGAAUAUAUCAAAAUAAAAUGUAAGUUUUCACAGAAAAAACGGUAUAUUAUUUUCAUCAUAUUGUGCGUAUUUUUGGCUUUGGUGAAGGUUAUUAGUCCAGAAAGGACAAAGCCCAUUUGGGUUGGUUUUGGACACGAAAGGGAUUGUGCAGCAUUGGCAAAUAGUGGUUAACGUUCGUCUAUCUGGUCUGGUGUUCCUUGUGAGGACCGUAGUUGGGCCCAAAUAUCAUAAAGAAACACACGAAACACUCUCCGUUUUUGGUUUUGAUCCCAGACAGACAAGAACACUCUCUCAUGUAUGGCAAAUGCCCUCCCUCUUUAAAUCAAAUAACGGACAGGAAGCAGUUGCGGCCCUGGGUAUAAGCAUUAGAAACAUCUGAUUCCGGCCGUUGAUAAUUAACAAAAUUUUCAGCCUAUUUAUAAAAUAUGCCAGUAGGUUAGAUGAUCAAACUAGCUAACAAAUCCCUCCAUAAUAAAAUUUUGGGUUUCUAGUCUUUGUUUUUGUAGAGCUUUUUACUGCUGGGCCUGAGUAGAAAUCAAGAAACAUAAAUAGAUAGAAAUGUGAGAUGUCCAGGACUUUAUGCCUGCUCUCUCUCUCUCUCUUUCUCGAGUCACUCUCAAAAUCUGGUUCGGGUUAGGUUAUAGACAUUUUAUGUGGAACUCAAAAACUGAGAUAGGAUCAAUACUUUUAAAAAUCUAUGCAUUUCUUAUUUUCCAAAACCCAAACAAACAAACCAAACGAAUAUUUUAAUUUUACUGAAAGUAUUAUUUGUAUUUAAUUUUAAAAUAAUUAUAUAUAAAUAUAGUUUAUAAUUAAAACAAGUACAUUUAUAUAUUUUUUUCAGCUACUAGCCAAUUCUCGAUAUUUUUAGCAAAAUCGAACUGAAUUCUGUAGAAACCCUGUCUAAACCUGAAAGCACCGACAGUGCCGGCUCAAUAGGGAGUGCGGCCGGUGCGACCGCCCCGGGUCCGGUUCAAAUCUUACAAUAUUAGGGGCCCUAAUUAUUUAAUUAGCAUAUCUGAUUUAGAUUUAAACAGUAUUAAAACGAUGUAUCAUAAUUUUUUCUAGUUAAAUUAUCAAAGAGAAUAUACAUGUUUGAUGCUCGAGUCGAAAUUUCAGGAAAUUUUUUUACCAACGUUAAAAAAUUAACUUACUAUAGGGGCUUUAAAAUUCUUUUUGCCCAAGGGCCCUUCUAUAUAUUAAGCCGGCCCUGAGCACCGAAAACCAUAAACUCGAACUGGAACCAAACUAUAAUGCCCUCUGCCUAAAUCAAACACUGAAAAUCUGAAACUUUGUAACCCAUUUGCUACUUGUGUUACAGGCUUCACGGUACACAGAUAUAUCCUAUUGAUUAAAUAGUGGGCUUUAAGACAAGGCCUUUCCAGUUUUUGUGGGCCGAAACUGAAAAUAAAAUGCUACACUUGCCCACCAGCGAACGUGAACAUCAGAGUCACAGAUAACAACACUUGAGAGAGUUAUCAGAAAGAGUUCCCUAUCGACACUCUCUCUCUCUCUCUCUUCCUCUCAGCAUCAUCAUCACCACCAAAUCGCCGCCAUGUUCAGACAAGCUUCUCGCCUCGUCUCCCGAUCUAUCACCGCCAAAUCGGCGACAAACCGUGCGUUUUCAACGGAAGUCCCGUCGACGAUCGAUUCGAGUUUCGUGGAGGCAUGGAAGAAAGUCGCACCGAACAUGGACCCGCCGCAGACUCCUUCUUCCUUCAUGAAGCCUCGUCCAUCGACUGCUUCCUCGAUUCCGACGAAGCUCACCGUCAAUUUCGUCCUCCCUUACGCAUCUGAGCUUUCCGGGAAAGAGGUCGGCUUUCAUUUUUCCUCGUUCGAUGUUCGCAUUUAGGUUUCUAGGGUUUGAUCUAUGACUCUGUGUGUUAUGGUUACAUAUUUGAUUGUUGUUUGAUUUCAUGAUAAGGUGGUUAAUUAGGUCUGAAGACUUUUGAUUUUUGGUUAGAUCUAACGGCGCUAAAGUUUAGGGUUUUGAUAGGCCAAAGCUGAAACUGGCGCAGUUGAUGUUUCGUUUAGUUUCUACAUAAUUGUUAAUAACAAGAUCAAGAACAAAAAAAAAAGCCUCACUUUUUAGUGAUUAAGAAUAACCUAAAUCUCCCUAAUUUCUCAGGUUUACCAUUUGUUGUCUCUGCAAAAUGUUGCUUGCUAUAAAUCCAUUAAAAUUUUAUUAAGAGUUUUGUUAUCUCUGCUCUGUUCAUAACCAAAUGAUCCUGGUGUGUUUUUUACGGUUUCUAAUACAAUGUGAUUGGCAAAUAAUGUUUGUUUCAUAUAUCUUGAAACUUUGAUGUUGACAAAUUAUAACUGCUGAUUUCUAAUGUGUUAAUUGGUUUUGUGAAGGUUAAUCUUUUCUCUUCUAUUGAUAUAUGAUGUGGUAUACAUAUAGACUGAAUCUCCAUGGCAAGUAGUAAUUUCUCAUUGGCUUAUUCUCAUAUGUUGGUGGUGCAUUCACUGUGAUAUCUCUUCUGUAGAAUAUACAUUCAGUACUGAAAGUUCUUAUCGUCCCUGACUUGCUUUCUGAUGCAUCCAUUGCUUAUAUCCGAGAACGUAAACCUAUUUCUUGAUUGGUUUGUUUUCUUGUAUAUAUUUAAUUAUAACUCAAAGCUUAUUGGCUUUUUCUCUUUUGUCUACUUCAAGGUCGACAUGGUCAUCAUUCCCGCGACAACAGGACAAAUGGGUGUUUUGCCUGGACACGUUCCAACAAUCGCUGAGCUCAAACCCGGUAUCAUGUCCGUCCACGAAGGUACUGACAUCAAGAAAUACUUUGUGAGCAGUGGAUUUGCAUUUCUCCACGCAAAUUCCGUUGCUGACAUUAUCGCGGUUGAGGCCGUGCCGCUUGAGAACAUCGACGCAAGCCAAGUCCAAAAGGGUUUAGCUGAGUUUACACAGAAACUUGCUUCUGCCACAACAGAUCUUGAGAAAGCAGAAGCACAGAUUGGUGUCGAAGUUCACAGUGCUAUGAACGCAGCUCUCUCGGGCUGAUGAUGAGUGAAAGUCUCUUUUUUACUACUACAAAUGAUGGAAUAAAUUAGAAAAUGAUUUUAUUUUUCCUUUUCGUAAUUGUGUUGGACUUUUUGGAAUAAAUGAUUUUGUUGAAGGCACAAACCAACAGAAAGUUAUUAUUCUUCUCGACUUAUGUUUGUUUUGAGAUUGAGAAACUAAGUUCCCGAAUUGAUUUAUGGUUUUCAUUUCCUAAAAUUCUUUUUUUCUCACUUUGGGCCAUUUUUGCAAUGUCACUUCAGAACGAUUAAAAAUUGUUGGUUUUUCUUGUUGAUUUUGAAACUCUCUCGAAGUGACAAUAUUAGUGUUUUACAGUGACCUAGAAAUAAUAUGAUUUUUAAAAUAUCGAACAACUCAUAUCAUGAUUAACAUAUCAUACUGUACGUAGGCUGGGACGGAUCCAGAUAUUCGGAAAAUUUAAUAUCCGGAUUUCGGAUAUCCGUCUCGAUAUUUUAUUACCCGCGGAUAUCCGGAUCCGUAAAAAUAAUUAAAAAUAAUAUUUUUUUUUAAAACUAAAAUUUUAAUAUAAUAUAUAAACCUGUUGGUACUGGUCGUGGAAGUUCAGUUGGGGGCCACCUUCCCCACCAACAAGCCACCCAGCAUAAUGUUGGAACUAUUGGCCCUAAUGUGAACUUCCCCCUUGAUAGUCCAAAUAGCCAGCCUUCACCUGGUGGUCCGCUAUCCCAACCUGGAUAUGUAAGUAUCGCCCUCAUCUCUUUUAAUUUUUUUCUUUCAUCUAGUAGUUUCUGAAGCAUUAGAGCUCGAUUGUUUUUGGUUGACUUUAAAUCAUCAUACGAUGUUGCCUUUUCAGGGAAGCCAAGCAUUCAGGGAUGGUUUUAUGGGCGGCAUUUCUCAGGUUGUCUUCUCGUUUUAUGUUACUUAGUGAUCAGGGGCAGUCUUUUCUACUUUUGUCUGUUAUUUAAUAUCUUCUAUGUCAAUACCACCAGGAUUUCUUAGGUGAUGAUUUCAAGAGCCAGGGAUCUCAUGUUCCUUACAACAUGGGCGACUAUUCUACACAGGUAGUUUCUCUUCUGCCUGCUUUAGUUAUUAGACAUGUAAAUACUUUGGAUAUAUGAUAGUAGGACUACGAUAAGAUGUCUUUGGAAAUGUAAAACCAAAAUUCCGAGGUUGGGCCAGAUAUAUAUAACCAUGUGUUGCAAAGUUGAUAGUUCUUGAAUUUCACAUAGGAAUUACUGACUGUUCAUGUUUUUUGUAUAUGUUCUUCGUUUCUGAGCCAUAUUUGUAUAUAAUUUCUUUGUAUGCCUCACAGGGAGGAUAUGCGGUUGAUUAUGCCACACAAGGAGCCCAUGGAGCUUUUCCUGGAAACUUUAUGAACCAAAAUUCUCAAGGGGGUUAUUCUCGUUUCAGUGGGAGUAAUGAUUUCAUGUCCCAGGUGUGUUUCACCUAGCCUUUCCUUUUAACACAGUUUUUUUUCCUUAAUUCCUAGACCUUCGUCUGAGUCCUCUAUUGUUGACACAGGAGUAUAUGGCGCAUGGAGCACAAGGUCUUUUCACCCAAGCUGGCUUUAUCGACUCAUCUCAGGAUGAUGGACAACAGAAUCCUUUUGGUGUGAACAAUCCUAAUCUUCAGUCUCAGGUUUGUCCUUAAUCCUAAUCCUUGAUAGUUCGUUUGCAUUAACGUUUACAAUUAACAAAAAAGGAGGAUUCUUAAGAUAGCGAAGGUUGUGUGUUUAUAUAGAGAGAAUUACACACUAAACAUUAACCCAAACUCAUACAAACAAUUGAGGCCUUUCGAGUUUGUGUUCACCAUAUUAAUCUUUGGUACUCAUGUUUCUUUUCAAAAGAUGCUAACGACUCUUCGUCUCACAGGGUCUCCCGAAUUCACUCUACUCGCAGCCUUUCUCACACUACACCCAGCCACUAAACCUUUCAGGCCCACAGCAAUCUCAACCUCCUAACCAAGGCUCACAAAACCCAAAACCUCCUCACAACGGCUAAAGAUGACACAUGCAGAAGCUGAAUGCAAACGGGUUUGUAAACCUUUUUUUUUGCAAAUUCAGCAGUUUGGUAUCAUGCUAUCACGGCUCCAAACAAACAUCUGGUGGCUUCUCGGGGUGCUUGCAAGUUACGUGCCUUUCUGGCUCGCUUAGCAACAGGUAAUGAUGAUGCAGAGAGACAUGUACCUAAGUAACCCGAGGAGAUUCUUGGUCCAUACAUCCUCUGGGCUUAUAUAAAUGUUUGGUUUUGCCGUGUAAUAUUAUAAUAUCAUCCUCUUAUUGUAGUUUAUAUCUGAAGCUACCCUUAGUUAAAAAUCGGUGUUGGUGUCUGGUGAUAUUGAUAUGAGUACUGCAAACUCUCUUGCCUUUAUUUAUUUUUUUCUGGAUAUUUCGCUUAAUGCGUGUCUGAAUUAUUGUUUCUGCUUCCGUGGUAUUUAUUAUAUGAUCAUCUAUGAGAUAUGUGCAAGUUUUGGUUCCAGAUAGUGUCCUAUGGGGAUUGUCCAAUCGGUUUUGGGUAUCGGACAUAUUAACACCGACUUUCUUAGGUUUGUUACGGUUUCAGGAAGUACCGCUCGUGGAACCAUCCAUACAAGCAUCGGAUUCUACCCCGGGUGUGAUCCCACAAAGUUUGGUGUUACAUUUUUUUUUUCUCUGUGUCUCGGAAGGAAUAUAUCAAAAUAAAAUGUAAGUUUUCACAGAAAAAACGGUAUAUUAUUUUCAUCAUAUUGUGCGUAUUUUUGGCUUUGGUGAAGGUUAUUAGUCCAGAAAGGACAAAGCCCAUUUGGGUUGGUUUUGGACACGAAAGGGAUUGUGCAGCAUUGGCAAAUAGUGGUUAACGUUCGUCUAUCUGGUCUGGUGUUCCUUGUGAGGACCGUAGUUGGGCCCAAAUAUCAUAAAGAAACACACGAAACACUCUCCGUUUUUGGUUUUGAUCCCAGACAGACAAGAACACUCUCUCAUGUAUGGCAAAUGCCCUCCCUCUUUAAAUCAAAUAACGGACAGGAAGCAGUUGCGGCCCUGGGUAUAAGCAUUAGAAACAUCUGAUUCCGGCCGUUGAUAAUUAACAAAAUUUUCAGCCUAUUUAUAAAAUAUGCCAGUAGGUUAGAUGAUCAAACUAGCUAACAAAUCCCUCCAUAAUAAAAUUUUGGGUUUCUAGUCUUUGUUUUUGUAGAGCUUUUUACUGCUGGGCCUGAGUAGAAAUCAAGAAACAUAAAUAGAUAGAAAUGUGAGAUGUCCAGGACUUUAUGCCUGCUCUCUCUCUCUCUCUUUCUCGAGUCACUCUCAAAAUCUGGUUCGGGUUAGGUUAUAGACAUUUUAUGUGGAACUCAAAAACUGAGAUAGGAUCAAUACUUUUAAAAAUCUAUGCAUUUCUUAUUUUCCAAAACCCAAACAAACAAACCAAACGAAUAUUUUAAUUUUACUGAAAGUAUUAUUUGUAUUUAAUUUUAAAAUAAUUAUAUAUAAAUAUAGUUUAUAAUUAAAACAAGUACAUUUAUAUAUUUUUUUCAGCUACUAGCCAAUUCUCGAUAUUUUUAGCAAAAUCGAACUGAAUUCUGUAGAAACCCUGUCUAAACCUGAAAGCACCGACAGUGCCGGCUCAAUAGGGAGUGCGGCCGGUGCGACCGCCCCGGGUCCGGUUCAAAUCUUACAAUAUUAGGGGCCCUAAUUAUUUAAUUAGCAUAUCUGAUUUAGAUUUAAACAGUAUUAAAACGAUGUAUCACAAUUUUUUCUAGUUAAAUUAUCAAAGAGAAUAUACAUGUUUGAUGCUCGAGUCGAAAUUUCAGGAAAUUUUUUUACCAACGUUAAAAAAUUAACUUACUAUAGGGGCUUUAAAAUUCUUUUUGCCCAAGGGCCCUUCUAUAUAUUAAGCCGGCCCUGAGCACCGAAAACCAUAAACUCGAACUGGAACCAAACUAUAAUGCCCUCUGCCUAAAUCAAACACUGAAAAUCUGAAACUUUGUAACCCAUUUGCUACUUGUGUUACAGGCUUCACGGUACACAGAUAUAUCCUAUUGAUUAAAUAGUGGGCUUUAAGACAAGGCCUUUCCAGUUUUUGUGGGCCGAAACUGAAAAUAAAAUGCUACACUUGCCCACCAGCGAACGUGAACAUCAGAGUCACAGAUAACAACACUUGAGAGAGUUAUCAGAAAGAGUUCCCUAUCGACACUCUCUCUCUCUCUCUCUUCCUCUCAGCAUCAUCAUCACCACCAAAUCGCCGCCAUGUUCAGACAAGCUUCUCGCCUCGUCUCCCGAUCUAUCACCGCCAAAUCGGCGACAAACCGUGCGUUUUCAACGGAAGUCCCGUCGACGAUCGAUUCGAGUUUCGUGGAGGCAUGGAAGAAAGUCGCACCGAACAUGGACCCGCCGCAGACUCCUUCUUCCUUCAUGAAGCCUCGUCCAUCGACUGCUUCCUCGAUUCCGACGAAGCUCACCGUCAAUUUCGUCCUCCCUUACGCAUCUGAGCUUUCCGGGAAAGAGGUCGGCUUUCAUUUUUCCUCGUUCGAUGUUCGCAUUUAGGUUUCUAGGGUUUGAUCUAUGACUCUGUGUGUUAUGGUUACAUAUUUGAUUGUUGUUUGAUUUCAUGAUAAGGUGGUUAAUUAGGUCUGAAGACUUUUGAUUUUUGGUUAGAUCUAACGGCGCUAAAGUUUAGGGUUUUGAUAGGCCAAAGCUGAAACUGGCGCAGUUGAUGUUUCGUUUAGUUUCUACAUAAUUGUUAAUAACAAGAUCAAGAACAAAAAAAAAAGCCUCACUUUUUAGUGAUUAAGAAUAACCUAAAUCUCCCUAAUUUCUCAGGUUUACCAUUUGUUGUCUCUGCAAAAUGUUGCUUGCUAUAAAUCCAUUAAAAUUUUAUUAAGAGUUUUGUUAUCUCUGCUCUGUUCAUAACCAAAUGAUCCUGGUGUGUUUUUUACGGUUUCUAAUACAAUGUGAUUGGCAAAUAAUGUUUGUUUCAUAUAUCUUGAAACUUUGAUGUUGACAAAUUAUAACUGCUGAUUUCUAAUGUGUUAAUUGGUUUUGUGAAGGUUAAUCUUUUCUCUUCUAUUGAUAUAUGAUGUGGUAUACAUAUAGACUGAAUCUCCAUGGCAAGUAGUAAUUUCUCAUUGGCUUAUUCUCAUAUGUUGGUGGUGCAUUCACUGUGAUAUCUCUUCUGUAGAAUAUACAUUCAGUACUGAAAGUUCUUAUCGUCCCUGACUUGCUUUCUGAUGCAUCCAUUGCUUAUAUCCGAGAACGUAAACCUAUUUCUUGAUUGGUUUGUUUUCUUGUAUAUAUUUAAUUAUAACUCAAAGCUUAUUGGCUUUUUCUCUUUUGUCUACUUCAAGGUCGACAUGGUCAUCAUUCCCGCGACAACAGGACAAAUGGGUGUUUUGCCUGGACACGUUCCAACAAUCGCUGAGCUCAAACCCGGUAUCAUGUCCGUCCACGAAGGUACUGACAUCAAGAAAUACUUUGUGAGCAGUGGAUUUGCAUUUCUCCACGCAAAUUCCGUUGCUGACAUUAUCGCGGUUGAGGCCGUGCCGCUUGAGAACAUCGACGCAAGCCAAGUCCAAAAGGGUUUAGCUGAGUUUACACAGAAACUUGCUUCUGCCACAACAGAUCUUGAGAAAGCAGAAGCACAGAUUGGUGUCGAAGUUCACAGUGCUAUGAACGCAGCUCUCUCGGGCUGAUGAUGAGUGAAAGUCUCUUUUUUACUACUACAAAUGAUGGAAUAAAUUAGAAAAUGAUUUUAUUUUUCCUUUUCGUAAUUGUGUUGGACUUUUUGGAAUAAAUGAUUUUGUUGAAGGCACAAACCAACAGAAAGUUAUUAUUCUUCUCGACUUAUGUUUGUUUUGAGAUUGAGAAACUAAGUUCCCGAAUUGAUUUAUGGUUUUCAUUUCCUAAAAUUCUUUUUUUCUCACUUUGGGCCAUUUUUGCAAUGUCACUUCAGAACGAUUAAAAAUUGUUGGUUUUUCUUGUUGAUUUUGAAACUCUCUCGAAGUGACAAUAUUAGUGUUUUACAGUGACCUAGAAAUAAUAUGAUUUUUAAAAUAUCGAACAACUCAUAUCAUGAUUAACAUAUCAUACUGUACGUAGGCUGGGACGGAUCCAGAUAUUCGGAAAAUUUAAUAUCCGGAUUUCGGAUAUCCGUCUCGAUAUUUUAUUACCCGCGGAUAUCCGGAUCCGUAAAAAUAAUUAAAAAUAAUAUUUUUUUUUAAAACUAAAAUUUUAAUAUAAUACAUAAAUUAAAUAUUUAUAUAAGAUUUAUAAAUAUAUUUAUAUAUAUCUAUAAUAUUGUAAUAACUAAUAUUAUAAGAUUAAUUCAUGUAUAAAUAUUAAUAUAUCAAAUAUAAUUAUUAAUGAAAUUUAAAAAUUUAAUGUGUUUUAAAAAUACGGAUCCGGAUCCGGAUAUUCCGGACCUAAAAAUUAAAAUAUCCGGAUCCGGAUUCUGUUUGGACGGAUCCAAGAUUUUACUAUCCGAAUAUCCUAUUUUCGGAGGACCCGGAGCGGAUUUCAAAUCGAAUUCGGAUCUCGAAUAAUAAGUCUCAUGCUUAACUGUAAGAAUACUGAAUUUGUAAGAGAAAAUAAUUAAAUUAGAUUGUCAUUACGUACACAAACUUACAAUAUAGAUGAGAUGUGAGUGAGAGUGAAACACCACGAAGGUACUGACAUCAAGAAAUACUUUGUGAGCAGUGGAUUUGCAUUUCUCCACGCAAAUUCCGUUGCUGACAUUAUCGCGGUUGAGGCCGUGCCGCUUGAGAACAUCGACGCAAGCCAAGUCCAAAAGGGUUUAGCUGAGUUUACACAGAAACUUGCUUCUGCCACAACAGAUCUUGAGAAAGCAGAAGCACAGAUUGGUGUCGAAGUUCACAGUGCUAUGAACGCAGCUCUCUCGGGCUGAUGAUGAGUGAAAGUCUCUUUUUUACUACUACAAAUGAUGGAAUAAAUUAGAAAAUGAUUUUAUUUUUCCUUUUCGUAAUUGUGUUGGACUUUUUGGAAUAAAUGAUUUUGUUGAAGGCACAAACCAACAGAAAGUUAUUAUUCUUCUCGACUUAUGUUUGUUUUGAGAUUGAGAAACUAAGUUCCCGAAUUGAUUUAUGGUUUUCAUUUCCUAAAAUUCUUUUUUUCUCACUUUGGGCCAUUUUUGCAAUGUCACUUCAGAACGAUUAAAAAUUGUUGGUUUUUCUUGUUGAUUUUGAAACUCUCUCGAAGUGACAAUAUUAGUGUUUUACAGUGACCUAGAAAUAAUAUGAUUUUUAAAAUAUCGAACAACUCAUAUCAUGAUUAACAUAUCAUACUGUACGUAGGCUGGGACGGAUCCAGAUAUUCGGAAAAUUUAAUAUCCGGAUUUCGGAUAUCCGUCUCGAUAUUUUAUUACCCGCGGAUAUCCGGAUCCGUAAAAAUAAUUAAAAAUAAUAUUUUUUUUUAAAACUAAAAUUUUAAUAUAAUACAUAAAUUAAAUAUUUAUAUAAGAUUUAUAAAUAUAUUUAUAUAUAUCUAUAAUAUUGUAAUAACUAAUAUUAUAAGAUUAAUUCAUGUAUAAAUAUUAAUAUAUCAAAUAUAAUUAUUAAUGAAAUUUAAAAAUUUAAUGUGUUUUAAAAAUACGGAUCCGGAUCCGGAUAUUCCGGACCUAAAAAUUAAAAUAUCCGGAUCCGGAUUCUGUUUGGACGGAUCCAAGAUUUUACUAUCCGAAUAUCCUAUUUUCGGAGGACCCGGAGCGGAUUUCAAAUCGAAUUCGGAUCUCGAAUAAUAAGUCUCAUGCUUAACUGUAAGAAUACUGAAUUUGUAAGAGAAAAUAAUUAAAUUAGAUUGUCAUUACGUACACAAACUUACAAUAUAGAUGAGAUGUGAGUGAGAGUGAAACAAUGAAAGGAGAUACAGACUGUCUGUGGGUCUCAGACCAUCUCCAACCUCACUCUAUAAUUUACUGUAAAAUUGAGUGAGAAAUGAAAUAAUAAAGAAACAAAAAAAUGACUACUCCAUGAAUAGAGUGAUUUUUCAUUUUUGGUUCAUACUAUAUUUUCUACUCCAUUUUUGGAGUAAAUUACGGAGUGGGGACGGAGAUGCCCUUAGAAACACAAGAGCUUUGGGAGGGGUUACACCAUGGACAGACUCCUUCAAAUGCAUUCUCCAGAACGUCUUCCAUUCUCUUUGCCAAUAUCACCCGUUCAUUCAAUACCAAUUUACAUGAAAGUCUAGUUUCAAGGUAUUUCAUAGAAAAGCACAUGUUUUUUCUUGUUUUGGUGGUUGACCACAUACUAAUCCGCAGAACCACCAAGCUUAGACUCUAGAAAACGAAGGCCAACCCAGAGCUGGCCUUAAUAUUGACCGGCCUGAGCUGAAUUAGACUAGCUCAAAGAUACUAACUCCAAAUACAAUACCAAGCAGAAGACUAAAGGUUGAAGUUCUGCACCAGUUAGCUCUUACAUGGGUAAACACAUUCACUUGACUGCACCAACUAUUCAGAACAUAGAAAGUAGUAGUUGAUCAUGUAUUGAUUAGAUCCUUGAUGCAGCGCAUCCUGAUCGGUUUAGCAUCUCGUUUACACACUAAACCGAGUUCGUAUAGUCCUUAUCUAUUUAGGAGUUUGAGCUUUAUCUUUUAGUAUUAGUGGCUUUAAUCAUAUGUUUAGAUCAUUCUUCUUCACGUGUUUUCUUUAGGGUUAACAAUGAUCUCAUUAUAUAAGAGACUCAUUUCCACUUAAAAAGGGCACGACUUAUUUUGAUUAAUAAUAUUAAGAGCUUUUCAACUCUAAACCCUUGUUCUUGGAUAGAGCUAGACUCUCUACGAUCUCAAGAAGGCAACGUCUUCUAGGUAUUCUCAGAAUCAAUAAGUUACUUGCAGUAUCCGUAGCUUCCGCAUCAGUUGGUAUCAGAGACAGCAGGUUUGAUUUUCUCGGUCAAACCACGAUCCUCGGUAUCAAUUUUAUUUUGUUCUUUUCUAAGGAUGCUCGUGGUGAGUCAUGGAUACAUGACGGUGACGGCGUCGAUUGGAGUCUUUUUAUCGUGUAUGGUGAGAAUUAUUCUCAAGUUCAAGAUUUCUACGACGAGAUCUAUGGACCUCCAAUAUACGACGUUUAUGAUGACGAUUAUCAGGUUGAAUAUGGAGUUUACAAUGGUCAGGUUCAAGACAACGUUUCUGAAGUUGGUCUUCACGCGGUGGAAGAUGUGCAACUUGAACAUGGUGAAGAAGUUGCCAAGAUCAUAAACUUUGUCUUUGGUGACAAAGCUUUUGACACGUUUUUGAACAUUACGUGUUCUUAUGGGUUGACAAGAGCAUUAUGUGGAGAGUCUUUAUCAACCAAAUAGUUAUUGAAGUCUGGUGUGACUUGUCCAUUCUUUCGAGAAAGUCAACUUCUAUCUUGUGUCAAAUAUAGUAAUGCACGUCAACAGGUUUUGAAAAAUUUCAAGCUUGCUAUGAAGUUUGAUGUUUAAAAUCGUAAGUGGGCACUUUUUUCUCAUGGAUGCAUCAAGAUUCGAUGACGAAUUUUCUUCUAUCCCGAGAGACCUGAUGCAAUGCAUCCUCAUCGGUUUAGCAUCUCGCUUACACACUAAACCGAGUUCGUGUAGUCCUUAUCUGUUUAGGAGUUUGAGCUUUAUCUUUUAGUAUUAGUGGCUUUAAUUAUAUGUUUAAUUCACUACAAGAAAACACAUGCUUAACGACGAAAAUUAACGAGGAAAAUAAUUAUAUGUUUAGAUAAUUCGGGUUUGGGCUUUCGGGUUUCAGGUUUGGGGGUUGGGGUUUGGGGUUUCGGGUAUGAGGUUUCGGGUUUCGGGUUUCGGGGUUGGGGUUUCGGGUUUCGGGUUUGGUUAAUUCCACGUAGGAUGAAAUCGUCGUAAAUACCACGUAAGCAUAAAUCGUCGUAAAGACCACGUAACCAGAAAUCGUCGUAAAGACCACGUAAAAAGAUUUAAACAUAAAACACGUUAAUUCCACGUAAGCAUAAAUCGUCGUAAAUACCUCGUAGUGUAAAAACUAGAAAAAAGGGAAAAGGAUCAAAAUACCAGAAUAACAUGUGGCAAGACUUCCAGCAAUUAUAAUACGUAAGUCUCGCCCACAUGAAUUCUAAUAUCUUAUCCUUUUCCUAUUUUUUUCAAAUAUUUAUAAUUUGAAUAUGAUUUUGCUGAGGAAUGUGAUUUCAGAUAGGUGUGUGAUUUGGGAGUUUAUGUGUGGUUUGAGAAUGAGAGUUGUGGGUAUAUUUAUAGGAAAGCAAGCCUCGUUAAUUCCACGUAGGCAAAAUCGUCGUUAAUACCUCGUAAACAAAAACACGGGCCUUUGUGAUUCCUCGCAAUUUCCUCGAAAAAAAAACACGGGCCUAUGUAACUGCUCGCUAUUUUGUCGUAAACUUACGACGAAUUUGCGACGAUAUGUAAUCUUAUAUAUACACCCGACCGCUCACUCUUUCUUUCCUCUCUACUUCCUCUCUACUUCCUCUCCAUUUCGUAGCAAUGGUAAGCCUCUCUGAUUCCUCUCUAAUUUGGUUAGUUUAGGAUAGAUUAGGUGGUUAGUAUAGGGAAUUUAGAUAGGUUUGCGGAUUUUAUGUUAUUUAGUGUUGAUUAGGUGGAUAAUGUUGGGAAAUAUAUUGUUGAUGUUAAUUUUAAAAAUUUCAUUUUUUUUCCAGGUUCGAAAAGGAAGACUUACUGCCCAUUACAGAGAGAUCUUCGGUGAGCCGGGUAGUCGUUUAGACCCGGCCUCUUCUUCCGCUCCCAGUUCUUCGGGCCAGGAGACUGUCCCCGAGACUCAGUACACUCAGAGAGUCUCUGGGUCUACUUCUUCUAGUGCACCAUCGGCUCCUCAUGUGCCUCCUCCGAUGCCUCCUCCUGUGCCUCCUCCGAUGGCACCUCCGAUGGCCGCCGAUAUUCAUCCUGAUCUGAUGGUGCCUCCGAGUGCUCCUUACUCGCAGUACACUGUAGAGGACAUUCUCAGUCUGCCAGGCAGAGAAGGUUUACCAGUCAUCGACCCAGACCGACCGGACGGAACUUUGUGGUAUGUUGCAUUAAUUUUUUUUUAAUUCGUUUAAAUUUCUUUUAUAACAUUAAAAAAUAAUUUAUAUUUUAAAUUUGUAUUUUCCAGGUGGGGGGUUGACGGAUGUCUUGCAUCGGACGUAACCGACACGAUCAAGGGUUACUUCUCCAUGGCACAUCCAAACUGGAGUAAGACGCCUCACUACGUCAGAAAGACGUGGUUCAAAAUUUACGCUGUAAGUUUCUAUUAAUUAAUUAUAUAUACUUUAAUUUUUUCAUGAUUUAUAUAUAUACUUUCUAAAAAACUAAUUGUUAAUUUAUUUUUUCCAACAGCAAAAAUAUAAUUGGGCCUUGGGGAUCACUGAGAGGGUGAGGAAGAAGUUUAACGCGAAGGCGAAAGUUCGCUUGUUGGACACGGUCUCCAACUGGAAGGGUGACUGGAUCGUGAAGGGGUAUGAGCGUGGCAAACCCGCUGAGCUCACCACGGAUGUGUGGGAUGGCCUCAUCCGUUAUUGGCGCCUUCCUGAUUCCAUUAGAAUCGCCCAGGCUUGCUCUAACUCCCGUAACACGGUCGAUGAGCACGGGAACGGGCCGAUGCUUCACACUACGGGCCAAAAACCCCACGCCGGUGUCCGUUUGGAAAUGGUAAUUAAAUAUUUUAUUAAAUAAUUUUUUUAAUACAUAUAUUAAUUUAUUCUAACUUUCUUAACUGUUUUUUAGGCCAAAGAGACGGGACAUCUCCCGUCUCUUAUGGAACUUUACGAGAGGACCCACAAGAACAAGGCGGGCGUAUUUGUAGAUGGCAAGUCCGAGCAAAUCUACAACGACGUAGUUGCUCGGGUUGAAGACCGCCAGACUCAGCUGACCCAGCAGUCUACCGACGGAUUACCCGUCACCUUAUCCACACUUGAAGUGGAUAAGAUUUACGAGGAGGUAAAUUUUCAAAAAAAUUAAUUUUUAAUUAUUCAUUUAAUUUAACUUUAAAUUUUUACUUACAAUAUUUAUUUUUUGUUUUUAAGGUUGUCCCUAAAAAAAAGGGACGGACGUUGGGUAUUGGUUCCGUCAACGAUGUUCCGAGAGCGACAUCGUCUUAUGGUCAGCGACGGGAUGAUGAAGUCACUGAGCUGCGUAGAGAGUCCGCUCAGCUGCGUAACGAGUUGACCGCGACAAAAUCUCGUAUGGGUGGAGUCGAGGGCUUCUUGGACGUUAUUGCGGCCACAAAUCCGGAAUGGGAGUCCAUGUUGAGGAACAUGCGACAACAACAUCCCAUUCAAGGCGAGUCAUCCGACGUACAUAACGAGGCGGAUGUUACGAGGAGGAGUGAUGAAUUCUACCGGGCGAUGAACGACCCUUAGUUUUUUUUUUUUGGUUGUUGUAUUAUAUAAAUUCAAAACUUAUUUAUAUAUAAAAUAUUUUCAUAUUGAUUUAUUUUUAUUUUGAAUUUUAAUUUAUUAUUAAAUUAAAUAAUUUUAAUUAUUUUUUAAUUAUAUUUUUAAAUUCUGUAAAAUAAUAAAAACGAAGUAAAUUCGUAGCCAAUGUACGACCUCUUUACGUGGAAACCUUACGAGGAAAUGACGAGAUACAUUUAACGAGCAUUUUACGAGGAAUCAUUUACGAGGAAAUAACGAGGAAAAGUUUACGACCAUUUUACGAGGAAAUCAUUUCGUGGUUGUUACGUGUAUUUUGCGAAGAAACUCUUUCAAGAUAUUUACGUUUAGGUUACGAGGAACUAUUUUCGAGGUAUUUACGAGGAAUUAUAGCGACGUCCUUACGUGGAAUAUUGACGUGGUCUUUACGACGAAUCGUCCUACUUCGUCUUUACGACGAAAUAUAUUCCUUGCUAAGUUACGACGAAUUAGCGAGGAAAUAUGUGUUACGACAGACGUAUGACGAGCAAACGCAUUUCCUCGCUAAUUCGUCGUAAAGCCUCUUUUACGACGAAUUAGCGAGGAAAACCGUCCUCGUUAAGAUUAUGUUUUCUUGUAGUGAUUCUUCUUCAUGUGUUUUCUUUACGGUUAUCAAUGAUCUCAUUAUAUAAGAGACUCAUCUCCACUUGUAAAGGGCACAGCUUAUUUUGAUUUAUAAUAUUAAAAGCUUUUCAACUCUAAACUCUUGUUUUCGGAUAGAGCUAGACUCUCAACGAUUUCAAGAAGACAAUGUCUACUAGAUAUUCUCAUAAUCAAUAAAUCCCACUACAAAAAAAACUGGAAAUGGCCGCAAAAUAUUUUGUGGCUAUCUAUUGAUUUUUGUAGCUAUUUGACUUCUAGCUACGUAUACCCACAAAUAUAUUUUGCUGACUAUGAACUUGUGGCUAUUUGCAAAACGUUGCUAUCCGUGGCCGUAAUUCUACGACCUAUCCACAAACUAUAUUUGUAGCUAAUAUCUACAAAUAACAACAAACCAUAUUUGUAGCUAUUAUAACCACAACUAGAUCCGAGUCCGCGCUACGCGCGGAUUUUGUGGUUAUAUAAUUUUCUUUUAAGAUUUAGUAUAAAUAUAUGAUAUCGUUUGACAAUUUUGUUCGAAAAAACCUACAGAAUAUGAGCUUAGAAUGUAUCUGAUUUUGUUGUCUUCUUUAUUAAUGGUUAGAGUUAAGCAUUUUAAAUUUAAUUGGAAAGAGUAAGAAAUAAACCAUACAUAAUCUGAGGGUUUUAUGGUUUUAUUUGGAUAAUUAGUAAAACAAAAAUAAUAAGAAAGCAUGUUAGCAGUGUAACUUUAAGAAGUAACAUUCAUUAUGAGAUGAAAUAAUGUUAUAGAAAUCUUGAAACCAUUGAGCUUAAUACUACACCCAACGAUCGAGCAUCUUGUUUGUUUUUUUAAGUUGAAGGUAAUACAUCCGAAAGUAUGUCCGUUUGUUCUAGUAGACAGUCGUAAUAGAAAGUGCCUAGAUCCGAGUCCGCGCUACGCGCGGAUUUUGUGGUUAUAUAAUUUUCUUUUAAGAUUUAGUAUAAAUAUAUGAUAUCGUUUGACAAUUUUGUUCGAAAAAACCUACAGAAUAUGAGCUUAGAAUGUAUCUGAUUUUGUUGUCUUCUUUAUUAAUGGUUAGAGUUAAGCAUUUUAAAUUUAAUUGGAAAGAGUAAGAAAUAAACCAUACAUAAUCUGAGGGUUUUAUGGUUUUAUUUGGAUAAUUAGUAAAACAAAAAUAAUAAGAAAGCAUGUUAGCAGUGUAACUUUAAGAAGUAACAUUCAUUAUGAGAUGAAAUAAUGUUAUAGAAAUCUUGAAACCAUUGAGCUUAAUACUACACCCAACGAUCGAGCAUCUUGUUUGUUUUUUUAAGUUGAAGGUAAUACAUCCGAAAGUAUGUCCGUUUGUUCUAGUAGACAGUCGUAAUAGAAAGUGCACUUCUUUCUUUCUUUGGGGCUGAUUGAUAUAUCAUUGGAGGAUGUGCGGUGCAAAUUAAGAACGAAAUGAGCUAUACUCAGUUUUGUUGAGAGAGAAACAUUGCAUAAUUACUUAAGGCAAACAUUGAAAGUACGUGACAGGUUCUCAAUAAGUAUACGAAAUGUUGACUCAUUUUAUAUGCAGCCACUUGGAUAAUGUUUUAGAAGGUUAAUUAAAAAGUGUAGCUUACGUCUUGUGAAGAUAGUUUUGUGUGUUUCUCUCUUAAAAUCAGAAACAUAGGACUGUGCAACCGGAAUAUACUCUGUUGUUCUUCUCCCUCCCCCGGAAGGCCGGAAGUAAAAUCCUCUCUUCUCAGAAGCAACAUAAAACGUAGCAUUCAAAACACCUUUAUUUAUCAGUGUUUUUUUUUGUUUAUCUCUGUCGAGUGUUAAAGAUUAAUUUUCUUACUAUUUUGCUAUGACAAAAAGUAUUGUCGUAAAAAUGUUUAAGAAUUUUAGUGAUCCAAAACAAUUAUAUAUUCCAAAAAUUAAAAUUAAAAUUUUCAAUUAUUAUUAUUUUUAUCUUCGUCAGAUGUUAGUUAUUAAUUUUCUAACUAUUUUGAUAUGAAAAUUUUUUUAUCAUAAAUGUGUUUGGAAUUUUAGUGAUCCAAAACAUUUAUAUAACAUAUAUAAAAAUAAACAACUAAUAACAUAGUUUUAUUUGUCCAUUAUACUUAAACCUCUUAAACCGAUAAAUAAACUGUUAUAGUUUAAUACUUUGAUUUGUUUUUCAAAAAUAUUCAAUAGCUAUAUUAUUAACUACUGUGUUUAUUCUGGUCAUCAAACAAAAUACUAUAUUUUCUUAUUCCUCUGCCUCUUUUUUUUUGUAACACAGACCUCUGUCUCUUUAAGCCAAUUCAAAAAUGGUCCGUAAGAUAAAUAACCAAGAUAAGUGGAUCAGUGAAUUAAACAUAUGAUAAUCAACCAAAACUUUAACCAAAAACAAAAAAAAAAUAUAGUCAACCCAAAAGAUAUACAGAUUCUUAUAAACCUUUUGUACAAAAAUGUCUAACUCACACAGAAGUGUAUCUUCUUCAGGGGACCAACCUCUUCUCCUCAUCUCAUUGAGAAAUAAUGCAUACCAUGAAACACAAAGAAACAAUGGAGGAACCUUAGUAACUGAAUAUCAAUCGAUUCAGACCUGUUAUCCGAAAUAUCAUCUGUAAUAAGAAGAGAUCAUCACCACUUAAGAAGAUAAAUACAGAAAGACGCUUAAAUUACAAUAAUUUCAGAUGCUUAGAAAGUGAUGUAUACUAUAUAUAUGGAAUAGCAGCCCAUCCUUCUUUUUAAGACACGUAUGAGAACCUCUCCAUCCCAUCGCCACCAGUCUCUGCGUUUGAUUCUCCAUCUUCGUCUCCAAAUCCAACAGAUACACGAACAAAACGAUCUACCACUGAUUGAUACUGUGGGAAAGUCUAUUCGGCUAUCAGCCCUUCAAAAGGUGAUCCAGGCUUCGUUGCUUUGGACCGAGUUUGAGGCCGCGUAGCUGGUGGUUCUCUCACAUGUGGCCCAUGAGUAGCGCAAGAAGAAAAUUGAAACCAUAAUUUCAUUCCUCAAAAAUCAAAAAAUAAAGCUGUAUAAAUUUAGCUGCACCCGAGGAACAAUGGCUUAAUGGAAAUCAGAGGCCAUGAAGAUUAGGGUUGUGAAGAUUCUAUAUGUAUUGAACCUAGACACUGUUAUAUAGCGAGGUUGUGGAGAGUAGGAAAGAUAGAGAGGUGUCGAUAAACCGGCGAAGAUUUGUUGUUGGAGAGGGAGAAGAAGUGUAAGAAAAAGAAAGAGAGAUUGGAUUGGUGACAUGGCAGUUUAAUUUGGUUCUGGAUAUUUUUGCUGAUGUGUCAUGCGUAGAAAUACUUCGAUUUAGUUCCUUUUAUAUAGGUAGCCACGUAUAUAAUUGUAGCAUUCUUAAAAUUUAAUUAAUUUUUUUUUUGUUUAAUCAAUUAACAAAAAAAAAAACAAUACCAGAAAGUAAAUGAAAUUAUUUUAUUUAUAAUAAUACGUUUCAAAAUGGUUUACAAAUUAAAAUGGUUUAUAAAUAAUAAACUGGUUAACCAAACCAAAAGGCUAAACCUAACGAACAAGAAAACCAAAGCAAACCGGUUGACCGUGUCUCUUUGCUCCUGGUGUCUGUUGGUCAUCGCAAGCUUGACUGUAGGCAUCGAGUUGUCUUUGUAACACAGAUCGAUCACCUUCAAGACUUAUUUCUUCUGCGUCGUUGCUUUCAAUCAGAAACAAGUCUGGCCCCUCCUACGGUAGCUCUGUAAAUCGGAACCGCAUAAAUAAUCAGAAACUAAUCAGUAGCCUAAAGAUUACAUGCAGAGCGGAGAGUAUACUAACUUUUAGCAUUACUUUGUGUUUGAACAGAUCCACAAGCUCCUCGGUCAUUAUCUCUACAAUCAUAAUGACAUUGAAAAAAGUACCAAGCUUUAGAGUCAUCGAAAAUAAAAUGAGCAUCAAGUAAUCAAUAACUAGUUAUUGCAAAUUUUGUAGAUAGAUCUUACCAAAUGCAGAGCUAUUCCGAAAAUCAAAUGGUCACGGCCAACCAUUUUUCCUGUAUAGCUUUAACAAGCUCAUCGUAAAGGUCUGAUCCCUCCUAAAAGCAUAUACCCAAAAUAGCAUAAAUAUAAAUAUACAUAUGCAAAAAACAUUAGUACAUGAAAGAAUCACAUUUUGGCUAGAUGCAAGGUUGUCAGACUCAACAUUAGCCACAUAGUUUGCCUCAUAUAGGUUUCAGGGAUCAGUUAGAACUUAGAACCUCAGCUCUCCCAUCCUCUGUUUUGUGCUGCUAUGCUUAAUUCACCGAGAUUAUUUUUAUUUGACCUACUCAAUAUUAAGACACUAUUAUCAAAGGACAAACCUUUCUCUUAACAGAGAGAAACUUUUGUAGUGGAAAAGAAAAACAAAAUAUCAAAACUUCCUCAAAAGCCUAAGGAACUUCACCUUUGAGAAGAAGAUUGCAAAGAUACAGAAAGAGGCUGCGGAAGAAGGGAAACGGCAGAUGUAACUGGCCUCGUCGCUUCAGGAGGAAUCCGAGUUUGACGCCUCCGAUUAGCUAUCUCUGAUUAAUUAAAAGGACGAGUGAAUCGAUAGUAAGGAGGAGAGGAAGAGAGAACAUAUCUUUUUUUUGGGUAGUAAUAUGGGAGAAUGAAUCUCAAUUUAUUUAAAAAAGAAACUCGAGUUUGUCGUGGCCGCAAUGGUCCAGCAACAUUCUCAUGAACUAAAACAGCGACCUCAAUCGGUGCCACAACAAAACUAUGAAAACUAAACGGAAGAGAAAAUGCAAGGUUAGCCAAACCAUCAGCUAAGCGGUUUGCUUCCCUAUACACAUGAACGAAUCGGAUCAGCCAGUCCCUUGUCAAGAAGCCAUGGCACAAGCGUACCAGGAAAGACAGCGGAUGAGUAUCCCCAAUCCCUAUCGUAAGAAACUCCAUCACCAUCAUAGAAUCGACCUCUACCUCCAGCUUUCUCACCCCUUUCUCCCAAGCAACCACUAAACCAUAGUACACACCCCAUAACUCCGCUAAUGGUGCCGUACAACUACCUAUAUUAAUCGCAAAACCACCACACCACUCGCCUUCUCCGUUUCGCAGUGCUCCCCCUGCAGACGCCGGCCCCGGGUUCCCAUGUGAUGCCCCGUCCGUGUUCUGUUUCAUCCACCCCACACAAAGUGGCUUCCAUCCCACCAUUAUCUCAACCAUAUGUCUCUCCUUAAUGUGAGCAAUAUCUGCUCUAUUCGCUGCUAUAACUCCCUUAGCCAAGUCACUUAAGAACUUGACUCUAUCUCUCCACAGUCGGGUAUCACCAAAUACAUUUCCACAUCUCCACUUCCAUCCCCACCACAGAGUUAAAGCGAAUAUAAUAGCCCACAGAAUACCACCACCUGCAUUGUUGUCACAUAGGUUCUUAUAUAACCAUUCCAGUAACUGCAUUCUGAAGAAAGCAUCCCUUCUUGUUCUCGGAACAAAUCUCUCCCAUAUACCUUUUAUCGCAGGAAAAUCACGUAACACAUGUAUUAUAGUCUCAAUUCCUCCUCUGCAGACCUAGCAUAAGUCAAUCCCACUCAGGUGCCUUCUACGUCUCUCUGCAUUCGUCAUGAUUGCUUGAUUUGCCACUAGCCAGAGGAACAUUCGAACUCUCUCAGGUGCUACAACGCGCCACAUAGAUCGAAAGAAACUCCCCAUCUGCGGUCUUGGAUUCUCAUCUCUUGUAAGCAAGGCGUAUGCAGACUUCACCGUAAACUGCCCAUUCGGAGUCUGCCCCCAUGCCAAACAGUCCUUUGCUCCAGUAACAAUAUCCACUACUACUGCCAUAAGCUCUAGUCUUCUCUCAGCUGUUACCAACGGGGUAAUUCUAUCAAAAUCCCAACCUCCACCUUCCCCCCACAUAUCUCUAACUGUUAUAUCUUCAUAUCCUUCUGGAAGCCCUGCAAUCACUUCAGUCAUGAGUGGUUGGCCUGCUAUCCAACUAUCCGUCCAGAACCAGAUAUUUCUCCCAUUACCAGUGACCCAGCUAUGGCCCAUAAGAACCACUUCUCUUAUCCCCAUUACCACACUUUUCCAUGUUGACGAGCUAGAGAUACUCCUUACCAUCCAAUUUGUGUCAUGUAUGUCCCCACACCGUACUUACUUCGUAAAACUUUGGCCCAUAAGCUCUCAGUAUCGUGUAACAGACGCCAUCCCACUUUCGCUAACAAGGCUUUGUUCAUAUCUCUCGACACCCUGAUCCCCAAACCUCCGGCCGCCUUCGGUUUGCAUAUUUUAUCCCAGGAGACUAAGUGUUGUCCACUUCCCCACACCAAGCUCCUCGCUAGACUAUCAAGCUUCUCCAGUAUAGCCACUGGCAUGCUAAUCGUACUCAUCAUAUGCACCGGGAUUGAUGACAGAACCGACUUUGUCAAUGUUAUCCUUCCUGCAAGGCUUAAUGUUUGUUUCUUCCAUCCUGCUAGCCGUGAAGCUACUUUCUCCGGUACCUCCCCAAAAGUAUCUUUAUUAAUUCUUUUUUGUAGUAUUGGCAUCCCCAAGUAUUUUCCUAGCUCCUUUGUUGAUGCAAUACCAUUUUCUCUGCUUAUUCUCUCUUCUCUUCCUCUAGAGACAUUAUUAGAAAAGAAAAUCUUCGAUUUCUGGAGGCUUACUUUCUGACCAGAGGCUUUACAACAAUGUUAUCCGCACUCAAUCUACCCGGGAUGAAACUAGACUGAGCAGGACCAAUCAGUUUAGGCAUAAUACUCUUCAGUCUCCCUACCAUGGCCUUCGUGAUAGUUUUAAACAACACGUUGCAGAGACUUAUCUGUCGAAACUGAGUAAUAUACUCAGGUUUCGUCACUUUCGGAACUAUCACCACGAGUGCAUCAUUAGUAUUCUCCGGCAACUUCCCCGUCUCAAAGAAAAAAAGGACAAACCUGAUCACAGAUGCACCAACUGUCUCCCAGCACCUCUAAUAGAAAACUGGUUGAAACCCAUCUGGACCUGGUCCCUUGAAGCUGCCCAUAGCUCUCACCGCUUUCUCUACUUCCUCCGCAGAAAACGUUUUGUCAAGAUCCAUUUUCUCUUGUCUUGUAAGCCCCACAAAUCUCCUCUCCAAUAGCAUUUGUAUGUCUGUAUCCAUGUUUUCCAGAGAAUAUAGUUUUCUGAAAUAAUCCACCGCUAGCUUCUCAAGUUCUUUUGCAUCUGAUACCCACUAAGUUUCAUCUUUCUUUAGCAUCUCCACUCGAUUUCCCUUUCUCCUAAUGAUUGUCGACAUAUGAAAGAACUUGGUAUUUCUAUCUCCAUGCACACACCACUUCUCCCGCGACUUUUGGAACCAGAGCACUUCUUCUUGCUCGAGGACAAUCUCAAGUUAUUUUAAUAGCCCUCCGUCCUUUACCAAGAUCUCAUCAGAGGGGUCUUGCUCAAUUUUUUUCCUGUAUCUCUGUAAUCUCCAUCAACAAGUCCUCUUUCCUUCUUUGGACAUUUUCGAAAACUUCUCUGUUCCACUUUCGGAGUGUCAUUUCCAACCUCUGCAAAGCCUCUCUUGUAUCAAUAUCACGAUCCCAUGAAGCUGUUAGCAAGUCUUGAAACUCAUUAUGUUGUAGCCAUGCCGCCUCAAAACGAAAUGGACGUCGACGUGCAUCACCCUUAACCUCCGGUGUGAGCUGUAGAUACAAAGGAGCGUGGUCUGAUGCUAAGAAAGGUAAAUGCCUCACACUUGCCUCCUGCCACCUGAGUCUAGAUUGGGCACAGCAUAAUAUUCUAUCCAGCCUCUUCGCUACAAAUGUGCUUUCAGUUUUCCCUCUUUUCCAUGUGAAUUGUUUGCCAUGAAAUCCCAUAUCAAUCAGUGACAUAUCAUUUAUCCAAUCACCAAACUUUAGAAAAUCCUCAGACAAUCUCUCAUUCCCACUACUCCUUUCAUCUAUCCAAGAGAGAAGAUAUCUUAGCGAACAAGGUGGAAGAAAUAAGAAUUAGGUUUAGUAUUUUUUUAAUGAUAAAUUAUGUGACUGCGAAUUAAGCCGCGUGUUUGUAAUUUUUUUUAUCAAGGAUGGGAAACACUUAGCCAGGAAAAUAACCCGGGAACUCGAAUUAUGUGGUUACUUUCUAAAUUUUGCAAAUCCAUAAAUUUAUAGUUGUGUCGUUCAUAUAUUGAAAAUAUAUUAUUAAAUAGACUAUGGUAAAACUAUACAAAUUGUCGUAAAAGUAAUGAAAAAAUUUAUCUUUAUUCAUAACAUAGAGGUUCCUUAUAUAGAAGAUUACACCGUCAUAGAUAAAUGGAAAGAUUACAAAUCAUAAUCUCUAGGUUAUGAGCUAUCCACAAUAUGGUUCAUAACACUCCCCCUUGGAUGCCAUAACCAUUUAGAGCUUGUAAUGUGCUUUAAUGUUGCCUCAUUAAAACUUUACCAGGAAAACCCAAUUGGGACAAAACCAUGGUGAAUAAAAAAGAGUACAACACACAUUACUCCCCAUUAUUUGGACAUUAGUGAAGGUCCCUUGGACCUCUCCAAUUUUCUGCAAUCUGUGGGUGAUGAAGAUCUUGGGCAGAAUAUGCUUCGUCCUCGAACAUGAUAGUUGGUUCUUCUUUACCAUCGGUCAUGCCACAAUCUGAUCAAACAUAUUGAGUCAUCGACCUCAAAUACACACACACGAAAUCUUGGAUGAUGUUGCUGUGAUAUGCGUGUAGCACCAUGUGUAAAACAUAACCUGUCUGAAAACAAAUCACCAAAACCAAAUAACUCCUCUUUGGACUGGUUAGUAUAAAAUAAACCAAAAUCAAAGGAUUCUUCAUCGUCUUUCUUAUGGACCAAUCAGAUCAGUGUCUAAAACAAGACUUCUGUAUCGUCCAUCUCAGGAUUAAAUGGAUUUCUUUAUCGUCCACCUUUGGACUGAAUGGAUCAGUGUCCAAAACAAGUGAUCUUACUCCCAUGUACUAGAUAAUGGGUGAGACUGGUCCAUAUUAAUUCUCUUGAGUACCCUUUUCUGUAUAUACUAUUUGAUGCACAAGGAUUUCAUUGUUAAUGUACUCAACCUGUAAUCCCAAACAAAACUUUGUUUUCCAAGAUCUUUCAUCUCAAACUCUUUCUUGAGAUAUUCAACUGUUUGAGAAAUUGUAUCCAGAGGUUCCUAGGAUAUUCAAAUCAUAUACUUUGAUGAUUAUCAAUAUUGUUCUUGAGAACUUGCUGUACUUUCAGCUCAAUACCCUCUAGUACUUUCAUUAUCCAGUGGACCAUAUAAAUAUGCAGUCACUACAUCAACUUGCUGCAAGUCUAAUUUUCUCUCUUAUAUAGCCAGACUUAUGAGAAAUCUAAAAGUAGUUGCAUCCACCACAUGGGAGUAUGUCUCCUCAUAAUCUAUUACUGGUCUUUGUGAGAAUCCUUGUGCAACAUCAGCUUUAUAUCUCACGAUUUCUAUUCCUCACAAGACCCAUUUAUAUCCACUGGUUUUAACAUCAUAUGGCGUCUUAAUCAUAUGGCCAAAUACGCCUUUCUUCUUUAAACUAUUUAACCCCACGUUUCCAUUCAAUCCAAUCUGUUCUACGAGUGCGCACUCUUAUACUGACGUGGGUUCAUGAUCCUCGCUUAUAUUCAUAAAUUCAAGUGCUACCUUGUAUGCAAAUAAAUCAUCUUAUGUCGACAUUCCUUAUUGGUUCCAUUAUGUUCCAGACAUGAUAUAAUCGAUUGAGAUUCAUUAUUAUCAGGACCUUUAAUACUUUGCAGCUUGGCGUCCCAAGCUACAUUGUUUGGUACCUGUACCUUAGAGCCGGCCGGCCUUAUCUCCAUGUCUGGGAUGGUUUCCUUAGUAACCUCGGAUUUGGAUUUUGAUUAUCAUUCUCUGCACCUUUCUUUUGUUUUCGAGGAUUCUUAUCUUUUGGAACCUAUUGGUCUACCACGUUUCAUACGUUGUCUAGACUCUGUAGCAACUUGACUGUGUCUCUUCUUGGACAUCAAAUUCGUUGGUGCUUUACAAGCUGGUUUAUAUAUGACUUAGUCAUUUUUUUCGGGUCAGCAAAUGUGUCUGGCAUUUGAUUAGCUAGCUUUGUAAAUGUAUAAUCUUUGGACGUCUAUUUCACAUUCUUUAGUCCGAGGAACUUGCCAAGAUAUUGAUAGUUGAUUCCAUUCUAUUUCUUUUACAAUUCUUUUACCAGCUUUAUUAUUUUUUCUCCUCUUGGUCUUAAAAUAAUCUGUGUACCUGGCCUCAAAUAUAAUCACCUAUAAUUGGCUCAAAGUACUUUAUUAUUGUGGGAGAAUCAUAUCCAACAUAUAUCUCCAUCCUUCUUUUGAGGUCCCAUCUUAGUUCUCUGUGGUGGAACAAUUAGUACAUAGACAGCACAUCUAAAUGUCUUAUGAUGGGGUAUGUCUGGCUCUUGACCCGUUAAUAAUUGUGAUAGGGGAUAUCUAUGCUCACUAAAUGGCCUGAUGCGUAUUAACUUAGAUGCAUGUAAAUUUCGUGUGGCCCAAGCUGUGAAUGGGAGUUUUGACCUCAUAAGUUAUGGUCUAUCAAUCAGCUAUUUGCGUUUUAAAAGAUUUCGGCCAAGCCGUUCUUGGUAUGGACAUGUAUCACAGAAUUGUCCACACUUACCCCCAUGGACAUACCAUAAUCAUUUAAACGCUUGGGACAUGUAUUCACCAGUAUUAUCUAGACAUAUAGUCUUUAUUUAUGAAAAAGGGGCUCGUAGCCGUUUUACUGGUGAUGGCCUAAUGAGUUUUCCUUGUGUACAUGCUACACACGUGAGAUUCUUUGGGAUAACUCUUCUUAUCUUUUAAUGUGUGCCUUUUGAAUAUCAAUUUUUGCAUCAUGUUUGGACCAGGAUGGUCAAUCCGGUCGUGCCAUAAAGUGUAUAUUUUCGCAGAUUUUUAGCCUCUAUCAUACUGAUCUAUGCAUAGUCUAGGUCAGUUGAGAAUGCAUGUAUAGUCUUUAGGACUUAUUAUGACAUGUUUUCUUCUCCCAUUGUUUCAAUAUGGAAACCAUUCAUUCUUAUAUUUUUAAAACUCAAUAGGCUGCUCUUGCUCUUAGAGCUGGGUGAAUAUAAGGCAUCACUGAUUUCUAGAUGCAUACCCUUAGGCAAUAAUAUAUUAGCCUAGCCAUAGUCUUCUUUCAGACUGGCGAUACCUGCUUUAGUACUUAUAUUGGCGUUUUUCAGUGUACUCAUAUAGAAAAAUCAUUCAUUCAUUUAAUCUAAGCAGACAAUGUAAUAGAAAUAAAUUCAAGGAGAUAAAAAUCAGAGAAAGCAUACAAGCAAAGCAAUCACACAAGUUUGAUGUCGAAAUCAGAUUAUCAACUUGAUUCUUUUAGGCAAUCAUAAGUCUCAUAUUCCAUAAGAUCAUCUUGAUCAUGUUCGAAAUUAUUUUCACCAUCUUUAUAGACCAAGUGGAUUUCACGAUUCUUCCCUUUUAGACUCUCUUUGAUAGAUGUCACAAAAAUGUUUGGGAGUCCUUCAUAUCUUAGCCCAAUGGUUCCUCAUUCCACAUCUAUGGCACACUGAUUUGGUCGAGUUUUGUGGUUUAAAGGAUAUACCACGGCCACUGCCUUGACCAUGGAUCAAAUUGGGUUGAUACCCACGGCCUCUGCCAUAGUGAUUCCCACGGCCAAAUGUGUUAUAGUGGCCAUGGCCACGUCCUUUCCACCCUCCACGGCCAUGACCGUGUGGUCUAUCAUUCUGGACGUGGUUACCUUUUUUUUUUUUUUUUGCGGCCUUAUUGGUAUCAGGUAAUAGAGUUAAUCCAGGAGGUCUCAUUUCCCUGUUUCUCAUCAGUAAUCCAUUAUUUUGCCCAACUAGCAAUAGACUCAUCCACGGACUUAUAGUCCUGAAUUCUAGGAUUCCUCCAAUCAAAUAGGGCCUUUGGUAAUAACAUCGUUCUUCCACCCUACACGGCUAUGACCGUGUGGUCUAUCAUUCUGGACGUGGUUACCUUUUUUUUUUUCUGUGGCCUUAUUGGUGUCAGGUAAUGGGGUUAAUCCAGGAGGUCUCAAUUCACUGUUUCUCAUCAGUAAUCCAUUAUUUUGUCCAGCUAGUAAUAGACUCAUCCACGGACUUAUAGUCCUGAAUUCUAGGAUUCCUCCAAUCAAAUAGGGCCUUUGGUAAUAACAUCGUUAUUUGGUGAUCAUAUCUCGAUUUUUAACUAUGUCCAAAAGUCUAGGGGAUUCUCUAUAGUCAGAUACUGAUCUUUGGGACUCUUAAUAAGAUGAUGGCUAAUAAUUAAUAUUUGCCCUGUAUCAAUCUUUCUCAUUGGCAUUAUUGACUUCUAUGAUACAUUCACCAAGUCUUUUUGACUUUAGGAUAAUCUUUGUAUCCAAUGCCCACCGUAAAUAAUUAUCUCUAGAGAGAUUUAGGGCAGCAAAAUCCAGGUUGAUUUUUGACAUCUCAAAUCAUAUAUCACUCAAUUCGGAUUUCAAUCUUGUGAGGACAAUGAAACUAUCAAUCUUAAAGGCAUUUAAUCAAUCAGUCAAUUUCUAGCAAGUCUCAGCAAUACUAUUUCUAUGUGCUCAUAAUAUUAUGGUUUAUCAAGACUAGCAAAAACGGAUUCAAUUAAUCAUGCAAUUAGGGUUUAACAAUCAAUGGAUUUUAGCAAGACUAGUAAAAAGAUUUAUUAAUCAUUCAAUCAGUUUCAAGGCUGAUUUUAGCAAUACUAGAAUAUAGAUUUCAAGCAUGAAUUUCAAUGAAUCAGUUUCAAGGCCGAUUGGUAUUUAGCAUAAACUGUGUGUAAAUAAUCUAUCUAGUAUCCGAAUUUAUCAAAUCUUAAAAACAUAUAAUCAGAUCAAUCAAUUUAAUAGAACUCAUAGCAUAAUGAAUUUAGGGUUUCAAGUUUCAGAUAUGCGGAUUAAGGUUAGGACUAGAAUUAGGGUUUCAUGAUUUCUAAUCAGAUCAAUCAAUAAAAUCGAACUUAGCAUACAAUCUUAAACCUCAAGACAUUAGAUUUUAUCAUGAAUCUAUUAACCUAGCAUACAGAUUCUCGAUUCUCAACGACAUCCAAAUCAGAUCAAUAUAACCUAUCAUACGGAUUAUUUAGGGUUUUCAUUUAAAACAGAUCAGAUUACAAAACUAUCAAUUCUAGCAGAUGAUAUUAAACCUCAAGAAUCAUGCAAUCAGAUCAUUCGGAUUUUAAACAAGUAAACCUCAAUCAAUCUAUCAACCUAUCGGAACCAAGCUAGCAACCUAUCGGAUUCAAUCAAUGUUUUAACAGGCUGGUCGGUUUAAACAAUUUUAAAUCAGAUGAACAAUUAACCAAGCAGGAUGAGAAAAUAAAUCUGUCAAUCUUAACUGUGAUUAAAGCAUUAAUAAAAACAAGGAGGUCGGAUUUAAUCAAGACUUAAACAUAUCAGAAUUAUUAAACUAGCAAAAUGAGAAUAAUAAAUCUAGCAACUUAACGGUCAAACAAUUCUAGCAACAUAGCAUCAGAUUCAAUCAGAUUUAAAACCUCAAUGAUCAAAGCCGAAAACAUUUUUGAUUUCAAAAUAUUCGAUUAGGGUUUUAAUAUGUGAUUUGAUAAUUAUAGUAUAAUUAAUUCUGAUACUUAUAUUAUUUAGGGUUUAUAGAUAUAGGGUUAGGGUUUAUCGGAUUUUAACUUGUAAAAACCGAUUUGGGGUUUUAAUCAUGUAGGAACAUGAUUUAGGGUUUGGGGUAUCGAACUUUUAGAGCUUCGAUUUACUCAAUUAGGAUUUUUGAUCUAUUACCCUAUGGUUUUGAUUCAUAAAGAUUAGGGUUUUAGGGUUUCAUUCUUUAUCAAUCAAUCCAUGUUCGAUUAUGGGUUCUUAGGUUUUAAAUUUCCUUUUAACCUUAGAUGAUUGUUGAAUCGGACCACCAAAGGAGUUGAGCCGCGAGCUGGACACGAACGGGACGCGAGCUGGAAUGGAUUGAGUCGCUUCUAUCGGGUCGCAGACGUCCUUUGUUGCUUGAUCGGGAACGCCUUGAUCGUCGGAUGCGAGCUGUCUGAUGCUGUCGCGAACGAGGAAGAGGUCACGUACUGGAGCUGCUCUCGGGUCGCGAACGUCUGAGCUAGGAUCAUGAACGUUUUAGGCUGAAGCUGAUCGGGGACGCGAGCUGGAACAGAUGCAGGAACAAGAGACGCGAUCGGGGUUUAGGGUUCGUCGGAUCGCUGGCUAAAGUUAGGGUUUUAGGGUUUUUCGAUAUGGGUAUUAGAUUAGGGAUUUAGAGUUUCGUGCUGAUAACAUGUUGUAAAAGUAAUGGAAAAGUCUAUUUUUAUUCAUAACAUAGAGGUUCCUUAUAUAGGAGAUUACACCGUCAUAGAUAAAUGGAAAGAUUACAAAUCAUAAUCUUUUGGUCACAAUCUGGUUCAUAACACAAAUUAUAAUAUACAUCACUAUUUUUAAAGCUAUAGGGUUUGAAAGUAAGGUUGGAGAUAGAGUUUGAAAGUGGGUUUUGGAUUUUAAGGUAAGAGAUUAAAGUUUGAAAAUAUGUUGAAAAUUGAAAUCUUUUAAAAGUGUUAUUUUUUGUGGGUUAUAAAUGUUCAAUUUUGAAAUUUGUUAUAAGUGUUAGAUGUUGGAAUUUAGGGUAUGUUUAAUAAGGGUUUAUAAUUUGGGGUCAAAUAUAUUUUUUUCAAAAAACUUGUUAUUAGUGUUUUUUUUUGGUCAUAUUAGUUGUUUUAUCUUCAGAUUUUUAUUAGAUUAUGGAAAUUUAGGGUUUAGGGUAUGGUCAGGGUUAAAAUUUUCUAUCAAUAACCGCAAAAUACAUUAUGUCUAUGUAUUUCUACUAUUGUUUUAGUGGCUAAUAGUGAAUAUUGAUUUCCACAAAAUCUUUUUGUGGUUAAUUAUGGUUUACUUUCUACCAAUACAAAGCAUAGUUUGUGGCAAUUUAGCCACAAAAAUCUAUAAGAUAGCUACUAAUCCUAGUAUUUAAAAUUUGUUGCUGUUUUUGUGGUUAUUUGUAACUUUUAUAUUAUAGCCACAAAACUUUUGUUGCUAAUUUGUGGCUAUGGACAAUUUUUCUUGUAGUGCGCUACACCAGUCCUGAACAUUAAACCUACUGAGACCUUCAAGGAAAAACCACAUAUGUAACUCUUCCACUUGGUUUCUCCAUCCCUCUUGCAAGAUGCAGAGAACGAGCUGGUACUCCCCUGAAGAUUGAAAAAACAACAUCAUCACUCAACAUAAGCUGAGAAUCAAAUCAAAAUAGAAAUCAGAUCACAUGUAAUACUGAGUCACUUCAUCAACUCUCUUGAAUCACAGCAUUCACAUUACUUUUACUAAAAUCACAAUCAAAUUAGUACAAAGGUAAAACGAACCUGCUAUGCCAAUGAACUUCCUUCUGAACUUUAACAUCGGACUUUUGAGCAUCUGUUGUGCCAAAAAACUGUUUAAAACAACAAUGUCACAGCUAUUGUACAAAUGUAUUUUGAUUCAAAUACUAUUUAAAAUUUAUUUUAAAUAAAAAAUCAUUGUACGAUUUUCUUGGACUUCUUUGUAGCAUUGAACUACUUCACAUAAUCUGACAUGAAUACUCUACUUGGAAAGAUUCAGUUAACAUUUUCGGCCUGCACGAUGUAGGAAUUGUCUACAGCCCUCGACCCAACUUAGACCGUGUAUGCAACAACAAAAUUUUCUAAAAGGGACGGUUAACUAUGUGUAUGUUGAAUUCUUGUUCCAACACCUUAUGCACUUACAUUACAUUCUAAAUCAAAUCAUCCACAAGAAUAGGAAAUCUUCAUAUAUGUAUGCGUAUCUCUAUAUAUUAAUAUUAAAAAUUCAAUACGUUAAAAAAUCUUACAACUACACUUAUAAUGAAACAAAAGUAGUAGAUUUCUAAUUUAAUUGAAUUAUCUUUCAGCAUUUGUUCAUUGGAAUUACUAGGUCAUGUUUGUGUUUGUUAUUUCGCAUAAAAGGUGAUUAAGUUAUUGUAUUUUGAUGUUUUUUAAGUAACAAAAAAAAACAUAUAUCGGUGGUUGAUAAUUUCUUCGAAAUUAUUAGAACAUGUUACAUGCGUCUCUUGUCCACCAUCACGUUACGAAUUCAUGAUUUUGAAUUUCUAAUACACCAAUUCUGGCUAUAGAUAUAUAGGUUGGAUUACUUUGAUCUUUCUUGUUUGAUUCACCCAUAACAUUUUCGUUAAAGCUUGUUGGAUUAAAAUUAGUUUGGCCAUGUAGAAUCCGAAUGUAUAGAACUCAAACAAACUUAAUAAGAAUUUGCUCUCUUAUUAAUCUCUCAAUGCUUUAGAAAAUCACUCAAAACUAAAGCUCUCACACAAUCACAAAACUCUCUUAUUUUAUGCCACACUUUGACAUCUCCAUAUAUAAGCAUAUAAAGUCCUAAACUCACUAGACAUAUGGUAUUUAGAUAACUCCUAAGUAUCUAGGACUUUCCUAUUUCCUAAUUUCAUAUCUCGGUAGGAAAUAGAUAACUUAUUUCUCAAGUUAUCCAAGCUUAAACCAACAUUCUCCCCCUUAAGCUUGAAGUCGGUUUUCAACACAUCUUUUACUCCUAGGAGCUCUCUCAUUUCUUUAAACUUUGUUCUUGCCAGAGGCUUGGUUAGUAUGUCAGCUCUUUUCAAGACUCCGGCUACAUGAUGAACUUCGAUCAACCCAUUGUCGACACAUUCUCGAAUAAAGUGAUAGCAACGAUGAAUAUGUUUGUUGCGACCGUGAAACACAUGGUUCUUUGUCAAAGCUAUGGCCGAUUUAUUGUCAAUCACGAUUGACACCUUCUUGCUCUCGAUCCCUGUUAUCUCCUCCAAAAGAUCUUGAAGCCAAAUAGCUUGCUUAGCUGCAUCAUUCCGCCAUGAACUCGGCUUCGCAAGAGGAUAACGCCACUGUCUCUUGUUUAUGUGAACUCCAUGUGAUUGGACUGUUUGCAAAGUAGAAAACGUUCCCUGAUGUGCUUCUACCAUCAUCCUCAUCUAUAUUAUGAGAGUUGUCACUGUAUCCUUCCACUUUCGCAUUACUUGAUCGACAGAAACUAAGACCAUAUGAUAACGUUCCUUGCAAGUACCGCAACAUAACCUUCAAAGCUGCUUCAUGAGAUACCUUCGGUGUUUGCAUGUAUCUACUGAUUUGUCUCCAAACCGUACCUUUCCUGUGAUUGACUCGUUCAGGGUCUUGAAAUAGCUUCGACUUCCAGUCAUGUGAUUACUUGCACCAUUAUCUAAGUACCAAACAUUUUCAUUGUUUGUCUCAAACUCUCGGGGGUUGACAUUCUUCUCAUUCAAGUACACAACCUCAUGCAUCAUGAGCUGUUCCACCUCUAUCGUCUCGGCCUCCUUCUCCUUAGCCUCUAUGGUUUCUUGUAGCUUAAGCAAGCGAUCCGGACAAGUGGAUGCAUAAUGACCGUUUUUGUCGCAGCGGAAACACGUGAUCUUUGACAGAUCAAUUUCACCAUAGUAUCGAUCAUUGUAUCGUCCCAUCCCUCUGCCUCUGUUAUAAUACCUUCCUCCACGUCCCCUACCACGAUAUUUUCCAUUGGAGUCGUGAUUCAAAGAAGCAGAGUGAGAAUCCAAAUUCGCAUACAUAAGCUUUUGAGUAUCUUGUGUUUAUUCUUCUUCAUCCAUAGCAACACGUUCUUCAUAUGCCUUCAGACGUCCGAUAAUAUCCUCAAAGGUUGUAGUCUUUUAGAUCAAGAACUUGUUCCAACGAGGCCACGAUAUGUAUAUAUUUUCUUCGAGGAAGACUUGAGAGAAACUUUUUGACCAGUUUUCUUCAAUGGUUUCCCCUAGAGAAUUUCAGAUAAUUUUCCCACAAAAUCAUCAAUCUUAUCAUCAUCCUUCAUUCUCAAUCUGUCAAACUCCGACAUAAGAGUUUGUAAGCGAGCCUCUCGAACCCUAUCUGCCCCCAUGUGUCUUGAUUUUAUUGCUUCCCAAAUCUUCUUUGCAGUUUCUAAUUCUCCUAUCUGCAAGAUAAGUGUCUCAGGUAUAGAUUGGAAUAGCAAUGCAAUCGCGACAUUGUUCUUUUCUCAAUCGGUGGAUUCUUCUUCGACAACCUCCCAUACUUUAUGCACCUUAAGUAUGAUCUUUACCCUUAUUAACCACACAAUAUAGUUGGUUGAGUUUAACAUAGGACAGCUGAUAGAAGAUGAUUUCCCCUCCUUGGCCUUUAACGAGAACAUUAUUAUAUCUCUCAUUGUUUCUUUGCCUUGCUUCAAACGGAUCGAAUCCUAGAAGCUCUGAUACCACGUGUAAAAUCCGAAUGUAUAGAACUCAAACAAACUUAAUAAGAAUUUGCUCUCUUAUUAAUCUCUCAAUGCUUUAGAAAAUCAUUCAAAAAUAAAGCUCUCACACAAUCACAAAACUCUCUUAUGUUAUGCCACACUUUGACAUCUCCAUAUAUAAGCAUAUAAAGUCAUAAACUCACUAGACAUAUGAUAUUUAGAUAACUCCUAAAUAUCUAGGACUUUCCUAUUUUCUAAUUUCAUAUCUUGGUAGGAAAUAGAUAACUUAUUUCAAGUCAUUCCAAGCUUAAACCAACAGGCCAUACCCUAAAACAUGGUUGGUCCUUGGUCCCCCUCACAAAGAGUUACAAAAAUUUAAAGAGAAGUAAGAGAUGGAUUGAUGGUUGCGGAAAUCUAAUAAUAACAACAACAGAUGGUGUUCUUAUUUAAUGGUUUUCCUUCAUUGUCUUAUCAAACCCAAUCUUCAAACUUCUCUUUUCAUUCCUCCACCAAUGCCCCUAUUCUAUUUUGUUGCAUGAUGUUUUCUUAUAUGGAAUAUAAGAAAGUAUAUAUGUAUCCUAGUGGUUUUAUUGGGUCUUGGAUUAUUGAGGUAGAGAUAGAUGAUCAAUUUUCAUUGGAUAUAUUAUUUAACUAUGUUUAUUUAUGAUUUUUAAACCAAUAUUGCAAUACAAAAAUGAUGUGGUAUAAGAUUUAUAUUAUAUUGUCAUGAUAAAUAAGUAAAAAAAAAAAUGCAAUGCAUAUUUUUUUUUUGUUAUCAAACUCUAAAGUAAUUACUCAUCAUACUUGUACUGCUUAUACAAACUUGUACAAUAACAUAUAUUUUAGACUCGUAUACUAGUAAUUUCAAAAUGGAUCAAAAUGGACCGUAGAUUAGAUCGAAUCUUAUCUAUAUUUUAGAACAAAGUUUCUGGCGUAGUUUAGGUUUUGGUACCAUACACGUUGCUAAGAAAAGUACGAAUUUGGGUGUUGGAUUUGAUUUUGGAUUAGUACCAAACGAAUAUGAAAAGUUGGUUCGUAUAUGCAUAUAAAAUUUGGUACUGUCAUUCAUCAAAUGAAAGAUGUGCCUUGUUUUUCUCAUUUCUGACCGUCCUACCGGAAUCAUUAGUCUUCGAAAUUCAAAAAAGUGGGUCCAAAAGAUCACGUUAUAAAACCAAUUGGCAUCACAAGUAGAGAAACUAGAUACGCACGUAUUUAAAGUUGAUCAAAAUUUUCGGAUCAACUUGAUGAUGAUGCUUUUAUCAAAAAAAAAAAAAACUUGAUGAUGAUGAUGAUGAUGCUGAUGAAGAGAAAUCUGUUCACAUGCAAUGACUUGAUCGUACUGAAUGAAUAUAACAGUAUAAGAAUCCAUAACAACCCAUAUAUAUAUAAAUGAUUUACCAAAAAUAUAUAUAUAUAAAUGAUACACAGAGUUACUGUUGAUUAAUUAGUUUGGUUUUUUUUUGAAAGCUACAAUUAGAAUCCAAACCCCUUUGAUAAAAUAAAUAUAUAAAUAAAUAAAGAGAUAGAAGGAAAAGAACAAACUAGAAUAAAGGGAGUGUAUUCAAUCUAAAAUUUGAGAUGAUUUGAUUUUUAAUGAGAUUUUAGAUGAGUUUAAGGAAUUGCAGAAAAUAAAAUGAUUUUGUUAAACCACUCUAAAAUAUCACCUAAAACCAUGAGACUUGAGUUUUAAUUUUUUUUAACUAAGAAACUCUACCUAAACGCUCUAAAAUGAAUUGAAAACUUUAAAACUCCACAACUUAAAAUAUUUUCAAUAACAGUGGAUUUCAGUGUAUUUUAUAAAAUGUCAAGUUCAAUAACACUGGAUUUUAAAUGAGUUUUUCUAAUUCAUGUUUCAAUAAUAGUGAAUUUGUCAUUUUGACACAAAUCACCUAAAACUCUUAAUUGAAUACACCCCCUAAAGUGCGUACAAAUCUCUAAUUUUUGUUUUAGUACAACAAAAUAGUAAUUUCUAUAUUAACAGCAAUAUGUGUACAUACUUUUGGCUAGCUAAGUGACCAAACUAAAGAUGGUUUUGUUGUUGAUCUUACUUUCACCCUUAUGCAUUAAACUGGGGGAACUGGACUUUUAAUUUUGUCUUCGAGUAUUGCAAUAUAUUUCGUAUUUUGUUAGGUUCUUACAUGAGGCCAUGACCCAUGGCACAAGCCACACCUAUUGGAAAAAUAUGGAACAAACAGCCAUAUUUCUGAAAUAUACUGACUAUUUUUUUUUAACAAGAAUACAAAUCUUAUUUUGUCUACUUUUCAUUUUUCAGUUUCAACAAACAAAUCUUAUUUUGUCUACUUUUCAGUCACAAAAUAAAAACUAACGAGUAACUUGACCUACUAGCUAAAACUUUUGGAUCACCUAGCAAGAGUGUAAGUGGUCGAAGGUUCGAUUCUUUAUAGGAGAGCUAUGAACUCCUAAAGAAAGUUAACAUAGUUUGGACCUUGUUCUAUAGAGAUGUAGAUCUUCGGAUCCAGAACUUCAUAAUUAUUAACAAAAAAGAAAAUAAAAAGUAAUAAAUUGAUAAGCUCAACGAUUCAAGUCAAUUUUAUGGCGUGGUUUUUUUUUUGUCAUCUGUUGUUAUAUUGAUCUCAAACUACAUUAGUCAAAAAACAUGUUACAACGGCCGUCGCGAUGAAACAACACUAUGAUCUAAAACCUGACGAUUUAAAAAUACAACUCUGAAAACAUAAGCCGGUGAUUGUACAAUUACAAUCCUAAAGACAAAAUUGCACUUGGACACACUUAAACUAACAAACAAAGACUAUAAAGACAGCCAAUAACAUAAAAGACCAACGACUACAACACUCUAGAUAAGACUCAAACCCAACCACAGAGAAAACAAACCGAGCCGAUAGUUUAUGGAUAACCGUUGCUGAUUGUGCCUUAUGGCGUGGUUCUUUAGUAGACAGCAAAAUAAACAAACAUAAUUAAAUUAAUUAAUUCCAUAUGGAAACUUGACUUAGGCCAAAUCAUGUAUUGGCUCCAGAGAUGCCAUUCCCUUACAUCGAUGUUUUUGCCCACCUGUCUAGCUCUUGCCACCGCAUUGUCUACUCCUACACCUUUUGUCAAUAUAAAAAGAUUAUUUAUACAUAAUACUAUAUAUAUGUGUAUGGUCCAUUCUCAUAUUAUUAUCUUAGUUGCGGAGUUUAUUAAUUAGACUCUAAUAUUAUCACAUCUACCAUUCGUUCUCACUACUAUUUUUACAAAUAUAACGAAAACAAAUCGUCGUCUUCGUUCCCAAAUAGUAAAAUGCAAAAUAUAAAGAUAUAUAUAAGUGUGUUUUCCAAAAAUUUAAGUGUCUAGUAGUUUAAAUAUAAAACUGAUGUUUACCACAUUUUAAAUUUAUAAUUGCAACUCAACUUAAAGGGUGUAAAUAGAGAUCGAAUUGAACGGAACCUAAUUUGAAAGAGACCAAAUUAAUGUACAAAAAACAUCAUAAACUGAGUAAUUCAAAUAUGAUUGGUAUGUUACAUUUAUAAAUCCAAUAACAAAAUUUUAGUAAGGGGACCCAAGCAGGCAUUUAAAAUAGAGAAUACGAAUAACGAUCGAGACAAGUAAAAUAAAAAUGAAAACGAAGAACGGAAACAAUAGAGAUACGUGAUGGGUUAAAUAAUGAAAAUGUUUAGUUUGAUGACCAAUGCUAGAAUUCAAAGCAACUUACUUUCAAAGAUAAGUAUAUAUAUUAACAAUAAUUUAACUUAAUUUCUUGAAGUUGAUUUUUUUUCUUAUCAACCUAUUAGGCUAAAUUUUCAUUUUCAGUAAGAAGAUUAAUAAAAUUACAAGCAAGUUUAGCUAACCUACUAGCAUUUCUGUCAAUAAGUUCUAUCCGCAAACAGUGACAAGCUAAAAUUUCACGAACACGUUCGGAUGGAAAAUAACUAUGCUAUCUAUAUUUGAUGGCUGCUUAUCACUCCUUGGUUUCUUUUUAUCAUCAUCAUUUUUAAAAACCAGUUUUUACUUCAAUUUUUUACUUAAAUUGAAGUAUUCUUUAUGAGAUCAUGUAGUACCUGUUAUCCACAAAGGAAUAAUCAUAAAAUGAUCACAUACAUUAUAUAUAUUCAUAUGAAACGCAAUCAUGCAUUAAACUACACAAAAUGUUCAUAAACAGCAUAAACUCAUGGAAAUGAGUUGUAAUUAAUGCAAAUUUUAUGAGUAUAAAAAAAUUGAGAACUUUGCUUUUAUUUAUUUUAUUAUUUAUAUACUAUAUAUAAAAUAUGUGAUAUACAUAAAAUAAAACGAGAUUACAUGUAUGAUUUUAUCUUACAAUGUCACGGUUAAUUAAUGACCAUAUGACUCGCGCGUAUGUUCAUAUAUCCUUCGUUUUGAAGAAGACGAUAGCGACGUUUUUGGUUGAGAAUGUGACAUUGUAUCGUGUGAAGCAUUAUUAUUGUUACUUAUGAGGAAACGUGACGGUAGACAAAAGUGAUACUUUUAAGAACCCUACUAAAAGAAAAACAAUGAUGUCCAAUUGUGUAAUUUGCUUCUAAUCAAAUCUACAACUUUGAAUAUUAGACUCUUCUUCUUUCCACUUUUUAUUUCUUAAUUUAUUUAUUUAUUUUUUUAGGUAAAAAUGUUAUUUUUAAUUUCUUAAUUUAUUUUGCGGAAAAAUAAUUUCCAUCUUUUUAUUCUCAAUUCAUUCCCCAUUUUUCAUCGUGGCCAACACACAAAUCCAACUACGGGCUAAAUUUACACCUACAUAGAUAUGCUGUAUAAAGUUAGACCUACAUAUAUAUGCAUGUAUAAAAUUAGACCUACAUAGAUAUGCAUGUAUAUAUAUGUACGAGAAUUAACUAAAAAAUCCCUUAAAGUGCACAUAUGUUUUACCUUCACCAAAUUAAUUUAACCCUAGACAUACACUCAAUGCAUAUUCUUUAAGAUAUUUUGUCACAGGCUCCUAUCAUUUAAGAUAUCUUGCCACAGGCUCCAACCAAUGAUACAUAUAUCUUUCGUUUUUUUAACAUAUUCUUUAUCUUCUUUGUUUAGCAUCAGCUAGGUAUCUGAGUUUCGCUGAAUCGUCCAGCUAAUCUGGAUGUGAGACAGCUUUCGUAAGGAAUAUCUCAAACCCACCACAUGUAAAGCACUCACACCAAAAUCUAAGUAACUCACUGUGUUGUUUUGUAUACUUCGUGAAACAUAUAUAAAUACUUAUGAUAUACGUGUAUAUGAAUAUUAAAGAGAAUAUGAAGGAAAAUGGAACAUGAAAUUUUCCGGUGAGAAAUAAGACCAUCUCUAAUAUAUUUUUUAUUUUUCAUCUAAAAUAGAAAAAAAAUAUUAUAGAAGUGGAGUUUACUCUACUGUAUUUUCUAAAAUAGAAAAUUUUCAGAUUAUAAAUUAUUCAAGGAGUUUUGCCCAAAAAUUCACAGUUUGGUGUGGAAGGCUCUUUUAAAGGGCAAAGAACAAAAGUGUGUUAUGUUUCCAUGACUAUUAUUAUAUUUAUAAAAAACUAUUAUUAUUAUUUUUAUUAUUAUUAUUAUUAUUAUUAUCCAAUCUUUAAUUUUAUAACAAUCGCUAUCAAGAAAUAACAAUACAAUGGUCAUCGUUCAAUUCACUACAAGAAAACACAUCGAAUUCCGACGGAGGUUCCGACGGACACCAAGGUCGUCGGACAUUUGUGACGGAAUACUGACAAAUUUCUGACCAAAUCCCAAAAAAUUAAGUCGUCGGAAUUCCGUCAGCCAUUUCCGACGGAAUUCCGACGAAAUAUGGUUCGUUGGAAAAUUCCGACGACUUUUCGACGACAUUCCGAUAAAAAAUGUAACCGUUGUAGUCGUCGGAAGUUCGUCGGUAUAUUCCGACGAAUUUCCGACGACAUUCCGAUUAAGAGCAAUGUCGUCGGAAUUCCGUCGGAAAAUACCGACGGAAUUCCGACGAACUAUGUGACCGUUGCCGACAAAUAUAUAUGACCGUUGUAUAGCCGUUUGAGAUUGGACAAUUCCGCCCGGCAUCCGACGGACUGCUUUACAUCCGUCGGAAUUUCGUCGGAAAGUCGUCGGAGGUCCGUAAGCAAUUUCCUAUAAAUACAACCCCUCCUCAUUCAACUCAUUCACACUUCAUUCUCUCUUCAUUCUCUUUAGUCAUAACAAUUCCGUGAAAAUCAUGUCUUCAGAAGUUUAUUAUCGUUCGUGGAUNNNNNNNNNNNNNNNNNNNNNNNNNNNNNNNNNNNNNNNNNNNNNNNNNNNNNNNNNNNNNNNNNNNNNNNNNNNNNNNNNNNNNNNNNNNNNNNNNNNNNNNNNNNNNNNNNNNNNNNNNNNNNNNNNNNNNNNNNNNNNNNNNNNNNNNNNNNNNNNNNNNNNNNNNNNNNNNNNNNNNNNNNNNNNNNNNNNNNNNNNNNNNNNNNNNNNNNNNNNNNNNNNNNNNNNNNNNNNNNNNNNNNNNNNNNNNNNNNNNNNNNNNNNNNNNNNNNNNNNNNNNNNNNNNNNNNNNNNNNNNNNNNNNNNNNNNNNNNNNNNNNNNNNNNNNNNNNNNNNNNNNNNNNNNNNNNNNNNNNNNNNNNNNNNNNNNNNNNNNNNNNNNNNNNNNNNNNNNNNNNNNNNNNNNNNNNNNNNNNNNNNNNNNNNNNNNNNNNNNNNNNNNNNNNNNNNNNNNNNNNNNNNNNNNNNNNNNNNNNNNNNNNNNNNNNNNNNNNNNNNNNNNNNNNNNNNNNNNNNNNNNNNNNNNNNNNNNNNNNNNNNNNNNNNNNNNNNNNNNNNNNNNNNNNNNNNNNNNNNNNNNNNNNNNNNNNNNNNNNNNNNNNNNNNNNNNNNNNNNNNNNNNNNNNNNNNNNNNNNNNNNNNNNNNNNNNNNNNNNNNNNNNNNNNNNNNNNNNNNNNNNNNNNNNNNNNNNNNNNNNNNNNNNNNNNNNNNNNNNNNNNNNNNNNNNNNNNNNNNNNNNNNNNNNNNNNNNNNNNNNNNNNNNNNNNNNNNNNNNNNNNNNNNNNNNNNNNNNNNNNNNNNNNNNNNNNNNNNNNNNNNNNNNNNNNNNNNNNNNNNNNNNNNNNNNNNNNNNNNNNNNNNNNNNNNNNNNNNNNNNNNNNNNNNNNNNNNNNNNNNNNNNNNNNNNNNNNNNNNNNNNNNNNNNNNNNNNNNNNNNNNNNNNNNNNNNNNNNNNNNNNNNNNNNNNNNNNNNNNNNNNNNNNNNNNNNNNNNNNNNNNNNNNNNNNNNNNNNNNNNNNNNNNNNNNNNNNNNNNNNNNNNNNNNNNNNNNNNNNNNNNNNNNNNNNNNNNNNNNNNNNNNNNNNNNNNNNNNNNNNNNNNNNNNNNNNNNNNNNNNNNNNNNNNNNNNNNNNNNNNNNNNNNNNNNNNNNNNNNNNNNNNNNNNNNNNNNNNNNNNNNNNNNNNNNNNNNNNNNNNNNNNNNNNNNNNNNNNNNNNNNNNNNNNNNNNNNNNNNNNNNNNNNNNNNNNNNNNNNNNNNNNNNNNNNNNNNNNNNNNNNNNNNNNNNNNNNNNNNNNNNNNNNNNNNNNNNNNNNNNNNNNNNNNNNNNNNNNNNNNNNNNNNNNNNNNNNNNNNNNNNNNNNNNNNNNNNNNNNNNNNNNNNNNNNNNNNNNNNNNNNNNNNNNNNNNNNNNNNNNNNNNNNNNNNNNNNNNNNNNNNNNNNNNNNNNNNNNNNNNNNNNNNNNNNNNNNNNNNNNNNNNNNNNNNNNNNNNNNNNNNNNNNNNNNNNNNNNNNNNNNNNNNNNNNNNNNNNNNNNNNNNNNNNNNNNNNNNNNNNNNNNNNNNNNNNNNNNNNNNNNNNNNNNNNNNNNNNNNNNNNNNNNNNNNNNNNNNNNNNNNNNNNNNNNNNNNNNNNNNNNNNNNNNNNNNNNNNNNNNNNNNNNNNNNNNNNNNNNNNNNNNNNNNNNNNNNNNNNNNNNNNNNNNNNNNNNNNNNNNNNNNNNNNNNNNNNNNNNNNNNNNNNNNNNNNNNNNNNNNNNNNNNNNNNNNNNNNNNNNNNNNNNNNNNNNNNNNNNNNNNNNNNNNNNNNNNNNNNNNNNNNNNNNNNNNNNNNNNNNNNNNNNNNNNNNNNNNNNNNNNNNNNNNNNNNNNNNNNNNNNNNNNNNNNNNNNNNNNNNNNNNNNNNNNNNNNNNNNNNNNNNNNNNNNNNNNNNNNNNNNNNNNNNNNNNNNNNNNNNNNNNNNNNNNNNNNNNNNNNNNNNNNNNNNNNNNNNNNNNNNNNNNNNNNNNNNNNNNNNNNNNNNNNNNNNNNNNNNNNNNNNNNNNNNNNNNNNNNNNNNNNNNNNNNNNNNNNNNNNNNNNNNNNNNNNNNNNNNNNNNNNNNNNNNNNNNNNNNNNNNNNNNNNNNNNNNNNNNNNNNNNNNNNNNNNNNNNNNNNNNNNNNNNNNNNNNNNNNNNNNNNNNNNNNNNNNNNNNNNNNNNNNNNNNNNNNNNNNNNNNNNNNNNNNNNNNNNNNNNNNNNNNNNNNNNNNNNNNNNNNNNNNNNNNNNNNNNNNNNNNNNNNNNNNNNNNNNNNNNNNNNNNNNNNNNNNNNNNNNNNNNNNNNNNNNNNNNNNNNNNNNNNNNNNNNNNNNNNNNNNNNNNNNNNNNNNNNNNNNNNNNNNNNNNNNNNNNNNNNNNNNNNNNNNNNNNNNNNNNNGAUUUUAAACAAGUAAACCUCAAUCAAUCUAUCAACCUAUCGGAUUAUAUAAGCAAAGCAAGCUAGCAACCUAUCGGAUUCAAUCAAUGUUUUAACAGGCUGGUCGGUUUAAACAAUUUUAAAUCAGAUGAACAAUUAACCAAGCAGGAUGAGAAAAUAAAUCUAUCAAUUUAACGGUCAAACAAUUCUAGCAACAUAGCAUCAGAUUCAAUCAGAUUUAAAACCUCAAUGAUCAAAACCGAAAACAGUUUUGAUUUCAAAAUAUUCGAUUAGGGUUUUAAUAUGUGAUUUGAUAAUUAUAGUAUAAUUAAUUCUGAUACUUAUAUUAUUUAGGGUUUAUAGAUAUAAGGUUAGUGUUUAUCAGAUUUUAACUUGUAAAAACCGAUUUGGGGUUUUAAUCAUGUAGGAACAUGAUUUAGGGUUUGGGGUAUCGAACUUUUAGAGCUUCGAUUUACUCAAUUAGGAUUUUUGAUCUAUUACCCUAUGGUUUUGAUUCAUAAAGAUUAGGGUUUUAGGGUUUCAUUCUUUAUCAAUCAAUCCAUGUUCGAUUAUGGGUUCUUAGGUUUUAAAUUUCCUUUUAACCUUAGAUGAUUGUUGAAUCGGACCACCAAAGGAGUUGAGCCGCGAGCUGGACACGAACGGGACGCGAGCUGGAAUGGAUUGAGUCGCUUCUAUCGGGUCGCAGACGUCCUUUGUUGCUUGAUCGGGAACGCCUUGAUCGUCGGAUGCGAGCUGUCUGAUGCUGUCGCGAACGAGGAAGAGGUCACGUACUGGAGCUGCUCUCGGGUCGCGAACGUCUGAGCUAGGAUCAUGAACGUUUUAGGCUGAAGCUGAUCGGGGACGCGAGCUGGAACAGAUGCAGGAACAAGAGACGCGAUCGGGGUUUAGGGUUCGUCGGAUCGCUGGCUAAAGUUAGGGUUUUAGGGUUUUUCGAUAUGGGUAUUAGAUUAGGGAUUUAGAGUUUCGUGCUGAUAACAUGUUGUAAAAGUAAUGGAAAAGUCUAUUUUUAUUCAUAACAUAGAGGUUCCUUAUAUAGGAGAUUACACCGUCAUAGAUAAAUGGAAAGAUUACAAAUCAUAAUCUUUUGGUCACAAUCUGGUUCAUAACACAAAUUAUAAUAUACAUCACUAUUUUUAAAGCUAUAGGGUUUGAAAGUAAGGUUGGAGAUAGAGUUUGAAAGUGGGUUUUGGAUUUUAAGGUAAGAGAUUAAAGUUUGAAAAUAUGUUGAAAAUUGAAAUCUUUUAAAAGUGUUAUUUUUUGUGGGUUAUAAAUGUUCAAUUUUGAAAUUUGUUAUAAGUGUUAGAUGUUGGAAUUUAGGGUAUGUUUAAUAAGGGUUUAUAAUUUGGGGUCAAAUAUAUUUUUUUCAAAAAACUUGUUAUUAGUGUUUUUUUUUGGUCAUAUUAGUUGUUUUAUCUUCAGAUUUUUAUUAGAUUAUGGAAAUUUAGGGUUUAGGGUAUGGUCAGGGUUAAAAUUUUCUAUCAAUAACCGCAAAAUACAUUAUGUCUAUGUAUUUCUACUAUUGUUUUAGUGGCUAAUAGUGAAUAUUGAUUUCCACAAAAUCUUUUUGUGGUUAAUUAUGGUUUACUUUCUACCAAUACAAAGCAUAGUUUGUGGCAAUUUAGCCACAAAAAUCUAUAAGAUAGCUACUAAUCCUAGUAUUUAAAAUUUGUUGCUGUUUUUGUGGUUAUUUGUAACUUUUAUAUUAUAGCCACAAAACUUUUGUUGCUAAUUUGUGGCUAUGGACAAUUUUUCUUGUAGUGCGCUACACCAGUCCUGAACAUUAAACCUACUGAGACCUUCAAGGAAAAACCACAUAUGUAACUCUUCCACUUGGUUUCUCCAUCCCUCUUGCAAGAUGCAGAGAACGAGCUGGUACUCCCCUGAAGAUUGAAAAAACAACAUCAUCACUCAACAUAAGCUGAGAAUCAAAUCAAAAUAGAAAUCAGAUCACAUGUAAUACUGAGUCACUUCAUCAACUCUCUUGAAUCACAGCAUUCACAUUACUUUUACUAAAAUCACAAUCAAAUUAGUACAAAGGUAAAACGAACCUGCUAUGCCAAUGAACUUCCUUCUGAACUUUAACAUCGGACUUUUGAGCAUCUGUUGUGCCAAAAAACUGUUUAAAACAACAAUGUCACAGCUAUUGUACAAAUGUAUUUUGAUUCAAAUACUAUUUAAAAUUUAUUUUAAAUAAAAAAUCAUUGUACGAUUUUCUUGGACUUCUUUGUAGCAUUGAACUACUUCACAUAAUCUGACAUGAAUACUCUACUUGGAAAGAUUCAGUUAACAUUUUCGGCCUGCACGAUGUAGGAAUUGUCUACAGCCCUCGACCCAACUUAGACCGUGUAUGCAACAACAAAAUUUUCUAAAAGGGACGGUUAACUAUGUGUAUGUUGAAUUCUUGUUCCAACACCUUAUGCACUUACAUUACAUUCUAAAUCAAAUCAUCCACAAGAAUAGGAAAUCUUCAUAUAUGUAUGCGUAUCUCUAUAUAUUAAUAUUAAAAAUUCAAUACGUUAAAAAAUCUUACAACUACACUUAUAAUGAAACAAAAGUAGUAGAUUUCUAAUUUAAUUGAAUUAUCUUUCAGCAUUUGUUCAUUGGAAUUACUAGGUCAUGUUUGUGUUUGUUAUUUCGCAUAAAAGGUGAUUAAGUUAUUGUAUUUUGAUGUUUUUUAAGUAACAAAAAAAAACAUAUAUCGGUGGUUGAUAAUUUCUUCGAAAUUAUUAGAACAUGUUACAUGCGUCUCUUGUCCACCAUCACGUUACGAAUUCAUGAUUUUGAAUUUCUAAUACACCAAUUCUGGCUAUAGAUAUAUAGGUUGGAUUACUUUGAUCUUUCUUGUUUGAUUCACCCAUAACAUUUUCGUUAAAGCUUGUUGGAUUAAAAUUAGUUUGGCCAUGUAGAAUCCGAAUGUAUAGAACUCAAACAAACUUAAUAAGAAUUUGCUCUCUUAUUAAUCUCUCAAUGCUUUAGAAAAUCACUCAAAACUAAAGCUCUCACACAAUCACAAAACUCUCUUAUUUUAUGCCACACUUUGACAUCUCCAUAUAUAAGCAUAUAAAGUCCUAAACUCACUAGACAUAUGGUAUUUAGAUAACUCCUAAGUAUCUAGGACUUUCCUAUUUCCUAAUUUCAUAUCUCGGUAGGAAAUAGAUAACUUAUUUCUCAAGUUAUCCAAGCUUAAACCAACAUUCUCCCCCUUAAGCUUGAAGUCGGUUUUCAACACAUCUUUUACUCCUAGGAGCUCUCUCAUUUCUUUAAACUUUGUUCUUGCCAGAGGCUUGGUUAGUAUGUCAGCUCUUUUCAAGACUCCGGCUACAUGAUGAACUUCGAUCAACCCAUUGUCGACACAUUCUCGAAUAAAGUGAUAGCAACGAUGAAUAUGUUUGUUGCGACCGUGAAACACAUGGUUCUUUGUCAAAGCUAUGGCCGAUUUAUUGUCAAUCACGAUUGACACCUUCUUGCUCUCGAUCCCUGUUAUCUCCUCCAAAAGAUCUUGAAGCCAAAUAGCUUGCUUAGCUGCAUCAUUCCGCCAUGAACUCGGCUUCGCAAGAGGAUAACGCCACUGUCUCUUGUUUAUGUGAACUCCAUGUGAUUGGACUGUUUGCAAAGUAGAAAACGUUCCCUGAUGUGCUUCUACCAUCAUCCUCAUCCACAUUAUGAGAGUUGUCACUGUAUCCUUCCACUUUCGCAUUACUUGAUCGACAGAAACUAAGACCAUAUGAUAACGUUCCUUGCAAGUACCGCAACAUAACCUUCAAAGCUGCUUCAUGAGAUACCUUCGGUGUUUGCAUGUAUCUACUGAUUUGUCUCCAAACCGUACCUUUCCUGUGAUUGACUCGUUCAGGGUCUUGAAAUAGCUUCGACUUCCAGUCAUGUGAUUACUUGCACCAUUAUCUAAGUACCAAACAUUUUCAUUGUUUGUCUCAAACUCUCGGGGGUUGACAUUCUUCUCAUUCAAGUACACAACCUCAUGCAUCAUGAGCUGUUCCACCUCUAUCGUCUCGGCCUCCUUCUCCUUAGCCUCUAUGGUUUCUUGUAGCUUAAGCAAGCGAUCCGGACAAGUGGAUGCAUAAUGACCGUUUUUGUCGCAGCGGAAACACGUGAUCUUUGACAGAUCAAUUUCACCAUAGUAUCGAUCAUUGUAUCGUCCCAUCCCUCUGCCUCUGUUAUAAUACCUUCCUCCACGUCCCCUACCACGAUAUUUUCCAUUGGAGUCGUGAUUCAAAGAAGCAGAGUGAGAAUCCAAAUUCGCAUACAUAAGCUUUUGAGUAUCUUGUGUUUAUUCUUCUUCAUCCAUAGCAACACGUUCUUCAUAUGCCUUCAGACGUCCGAUAAUAUCCUCAAAGGUUGUAGUCUUUUAGAUCAAGAACUUGUUCCAACGAGGCCACGAUAUGUAUAUAUUUUCUUCGAGGAAGACUUGAGAGAAACUUUUUGACCAGUUUUCUUCAAUGGUUUCCCCUAGAGAAUUUCAGAUAAUUUUCCCACAAAAUCAUCAAUCUUAUCAUCAUCCUUCAUUCUCAAUCUGUCAAACUCCGACAUAAGAGUUUGUAAGCGAGCCUCUCGAACCCUAUCUGCCCCCAUGUGUCUUGAUUUUAUUGCUUCCCAAAUCUUCUUUGCAGUUUCUAAUUCUCCUAUCUGCAAGAUAAGUGUCUCAGGUAUAGAUUGGAAUAGCAAUGCAAUCGCGACAUUGUUCUUUUCUCAAUCGGUGGAUUCUUCUUCGACAACCUCCCAUACUUUAUGCACCUUAAGUAUGAUCUUUACCCUUAUUAACCACACAAUAUAGUUGGUUGAGUUUAACAUAGGACAGCUGAUAGAAGAUGAUUUCCCCUCCUUGGCCUUUAACGAGAACAUUAUUAUAUCUCUCAUUGUUUCUUUGCCUUGCUUCAAACGGAUCGAAUCCUAGAAGCUCUGAUACCACGUGUAAAAUCCGAAUGUAUAGAACUCAAACAAACUUAAUAAGAAUUUGCUCUCUUAUUAAUCUCUCAAUGCUUUAGAAAAUCAUUCAAAAAUAAAGCUCUCACACAAUCACAAAACUCUCUUAUGUUAUGCCACACUUUGACAUCUCCAUAUAUAAGCAUAUAAAGUCAUAAACUCACUAGACAUAUGAUAUUUAGAUAACUCCUAAAUAUCUAGGACUUUCCUAUUUUCUAAUUUCAUAUCUUGGUAGGAAAUAGAUAACUUAUUUCAAGUCAUUCCAAGCUUAAACCAACAGGCCAUACCCUAAAACAUGGUUGGUCCUUGGUCCCCCUCACAAAGAGUUACAAAAAUUUAAAGAGAAGUAAGAGAUGGAUUGAUGGUUGCGGAAAUCUAAUAAUAACAACAACAGAUGGUGUUCUUAUUUAAUGGUUUUCCUUCAUUGUCUUAUCAAACCCAAUCUUCAAACUUCUCUUUUCAUUCCUCCACCAAUGCCCCUAUUCUAUUUUGUUAUUUGUUAGUCGAAAUUUACCGCCGGACAACGGUCGUCGGAAUAUACCGACGACCGUUGGCCGUCGGUAAAUUUCGACGAACAAGGUUCGUCGGAAUGUACCGAGGAACACUCUGCGUCGAAAGUGUCCGAGGAAUGUUCUCCGUCGGUUCGUAGUUUUUCCGAUGAACUCUGGUCUCGUGUAUCCGCAUCGUAAUAUCGUCGGAAGUUCGUCAGAAUGACGUUUCUCGGUAUUCGUCAGAAAGUCGUCGGAAGUUCUGACGAAAUUCCGACGAAAUUUUUUUUUCCGACGAAACGAUACCGACGGACGGGUUCGUCAGAAAUUCGUCGGAAUCGGUCUAUUCCGACGAAUUUUCGACGAUUUCGGCCAUCAGAAUCCCCCUGUUUUCUUGUAGUGAUUAAGCUAUAUCAGAAUUUGAGUUUAUAUUAAUCAAAUUCUUAUUAGCAUAAAAAAAUUAUAUGGCAGCUGUGUAUAUAUAUAUAUACACAUUCUUAAGAUUAGUUCAAACUUGAACCAAAA
rnacentral:lncRNA from 1 species